rnacentral:lncRNA from 1 species
UACUGAAAUCAGUAUUAAAGUAUUAAAGUGGAUAAUCGCAAUACUGAAUUUUAGUACCAAAAUGAGUGAUGUAAAACAUAGUCGGGUCAUGUUGGUGCUAUAUUUCAGUACUGAAAUCAAUAUUGAAAUAUUAAGGUGGAUAAUCACAAUACUGAAUUUUAGUACCGAAAUUAGAAAUUUAUAACUCAGUCGGGUCAUCGUGGUGCUGUUUUUUCAGUAUCGAAAUACUAACGUAGUUAAUCUCAAUGCUAUAUUUUAGUACCAAAAUUAGUGAUAUAGAAUUGAGUCAUGCGUUCAUCCAGCUGUUUUUCAGUACUGAAAUCAAUACUGCAAUAUUUACAUGGAUAAUCGCCGUACCGAAUAUUAGUAACAAAUUUGUGAUAUACAGCUAAGUCUCGUGAUCAUCGUUUCGUUUUUAAGUCGUGAAAUCAGUAUUGAAAUAUUAAGUGGAUAAUCGCAAUACUGAAUUUUAGUACCAAAAUUAGUGAUAUACAACUGAGUGUGAUGAUCGUCAUUUUAUAUUUCAGUAUUGAAAUCAAUAUUAAUAUAUUAAUGUGGAUAAUCACAAUACUAAAUUUUAGUACCAAAAUUAGUGAUACACGACCAAGUCGGGUCAUCGUGGUGCUGUAUUUCAGUAUUGAAGUCAUUACGGAAAUGUUAACAGGUCUAAACAUAAUACUGAGUUAUAAUACCAAAAUCAGUGAUAUAGAACUGAGUGAGGUGUUAGUCGUGCUAUUUUUUUGUACUCAAACCAAUACUGACAUAUUAACAUAGAUAAUCGCAAUACUGAAUUUUAUACCGAAAUAAGUGAUAUAAAACUGAGUCAGGUCAUCCUAGUGCUGUUUUUAGUAUUGAAAUCAGUAUUGAAAAAUUAACGUGAAGAAUCACAAUACUGAAUUCUAGUACCAAAAUUAGUGAUAUAGAAGUGAGUCGGGGGAUCUCAUUUUGUAUUUUAGUACUGAAAUCAGUAUUGAAAUAUUAAGGUGGAUAAUGGCAAUACUGAAUUUCAGAACCGAAAUGAGUGAUAUAGAACAUAGUCGGGUCAUCUUGGUGAUCUAGUUUAGUAUUGAAAUCAGUACUGAAAUAUUAACGUGGAUAAUCAGAACACUGAAUUUUAGUACCGAAAUUAGUGAUAUACAAUCGAGUCGGGUCAUCGUGGUGCGGUUUUCAAUAUUAAAUAAUUACGUGGAUAAUCACAAUACUAAGUUUUAGUACUGAAAUUAGUGAUAUAGAACCGAGUCAGGUGUUAGUCAAGCUAUUUUUGAGUACUCAAAUUAAUACUGAAAUACUAACAUGGAUAAUCACAAUAGUAAAAUUUAUACCGAAAUUAGUGAUAUAGACGUGAGUCGGGUGAUCGUCGUUUUGUUUUUCAGUACUGAAAUCGGUAUUAAAGUAUUAAAGUGGAUAGUCGCAAUACUGAAUUUUAGUACCGAAAUGAGUGAUGUAAAACAUAGUCGGCUCAUGUUGGUGCUAUAUUUCAGUAUUGAAAUCAAUAUUGAAAUAUUCAGGUGGAUAAUCACAAUACUGAAUUUUUGUACCGAAAUUAGAAAUUUACAACUCAGUUGGGUCAUCGUGGUGUAGUUUUUUCAGUAUCGAAAUAUUAACGUGGUUAAUCUCAAUGCUAUAUUUUAGUACCAAAAUUAGUGAUAUAGAAUUGAGUCAUGCGUUCAUCCAGCUGUUUUUCAGUACUGAAAUCAAUACUGCAAUAUUUACAUGGAUAAUCGCAGUACCGAAUAUUAGUAAUAAAUUUGUGAUAUACAGCUAAGUCUCGUGAUCAUCGUUUCGUUUUUAAGUCUUGAAAUCAGUAUUGAAAUAUUAAGUGGAUAAUCGCAAUACUGAAUUUUAAUACCAAAAUUAGUGAUAUACAACUGAGUGUGAUGAUCGUCAUUUUAUAUUUCAGUAUUGAAAUCAAUAUUGAUAUAUUAAUGUGGAUAAUCACAAUACUAAAUUUUAGUACUGAAAUUAGUGAUACACGACCGAGUCGGGUGAUCGUGGUGCUGUAUUUCAGUAUUGAAGUCAGUACGGAAAUGUUAACAUGUAUAAUCAUAAUACUGAGUUUUAAUACCAAAAUCAGUGAUAUAGAACUGAGUGAGGUGUUAGUCGUGCUAUUUUUUGUACUCAAAGCAAUACUAACAUAUUAACAUAGAUAAUCGCAAUACUGAAUUUUAUACCAAAAUUAGUGAUCUAAAACUGAGUCAGGUUAUCCUAGUGCUAUUUUUAGUAUCGAAAUCAGUAUUGAAAAAUUAACGUGAAGAAUCACAAUACUGAAUUCUAGUACCAAAAUUAGUGAUAUACAAGUGAGUCGGGUGAUCUCGUUUUGUAUUUCAGUACUGAAAUAAGUAUUGAAAUAUUAAGGUGGAUAAUCACAAGAUUGAAUUUCAGUACCGAAAUGAGUGAUAUAGAACAUAGUCGGGUCAUCUUGGUGAUCUAGUUCAGUAUUGAAAUCAGUACUGAAAUAUUAACGUGGAUAAUCAGAACACUGAAUUUUAGUACCGAAAUUAGUGAUAUACAAUAGAGUCGGGUCAUCGUGGUGCGGUUUCCAAUAUUAAAUAUCAACGUGGAUAAUCACAAUACUAAGUUUUAGUACUGAAAUUAGUGAUAUAGAACCGAGUCAGGUGUUAGUCAAGCUAUUUUUGAGUACCCAAAUUAAUACUGAAAUACUAACAUGGAUAAUCACAAUGGUAAAAUUUAUACCGAAAUUAGUGAUAUAGAAGUGAGUCGGGUGAUCGUCGUUUUGUUUUUCAGUACUGAAAUCAGUAUUAAUGUAUUAAAGUGGAUAACCGCAAUACUUAAUUUUAGUACCGAAAUGAGUGAUGUAAAACAUAGUCGGGUCAUGUUGGUGCUAUAUUUCAGUACUGAAAUCAAUAUUGAAAUAUUAAGGUGGAUAAUCACAAUACUGAAUUUUAGUACCGAAAUUAGAAAUUUACAACUCAGUCGGGUCAUCGUGGUGCUGUUUUUUCAGUAUCGAAAUGUUAACAUGUAUAAUCAUAAUACUGAGUUUUAAUACCAAAAUCAGUGAUAUCGAACUGAGUGAGGUGUUAGUCGUGCUAUUUUUUCUACUCAAAUCAAUACUGACAUAUUAACAUAGAUAAUCGUAAUACUGAAUUUUAUACCGAAAUUAGUGAUAUAAAACUGAGUCAGGUCAUCCUAGUGCUAUUUUUAGUAUUGAAAUCAGUAUUGAAAAAUUAACGUGAAGAAUCACAAUACUGAAUUCUAGUACCAAAAUUAGUGAUAUACAAGUGAGUCGGGUGAUCUCGUUUUGUAUUUCAGUACUGAAAUUACUAUUGAAAUAUUAAGGUGGAUAAUCGCAAUACUGAAUUUUAGUACCGAAAUGAGUGAUAUAGAAAAUAGUCGGGUCAUCUUGGUGAUCUAGUUCAGUAUUGAAAUCAGUACUGAAAUAUUAACGUGGAUAAUCAGAACACUGAAUUUUAGUACCGAAAUUAGUGAUAUACAAUCGAGUCGGGUCAUCGUGGUGCGGUUUUCAAUAUUAAAUAUUAACGUGGAUAAUCACAGUACUAAGUUUUAGUACUGAAAUUAGUGAUAUAGAACCGAGUCAGGUGUUAGUCAAGCUAUUUUUUAGUACUCAAAUUAAUACUGAAAUACUAACAUGGAUAAUCACAAUAGUAAAAUUUAUACAGAAAUUAGUGAUAUAGAAGUGAGUCGGGUGAUCGCCGUUUUGUUUUUCAGUACUGAAAUUCUAUUAAAGUAUUAAAGUGGAUAAUCGCAAUACUGAAUUAUAGUACCGAAAUGAGUGAUGUAAAACAUAGUCGGGUCAUCUUGGUGCUAUAUUUCAGUACUAAAAUCAAUAUUGAAAUAUUAAGGCGGAUAAUCACAAUACUGAAUUUUAGUACCGAAAUUAGAAAUUUACAACUCAGUGGGGUCUUCGUGGUGCUGUUUUUUCAGUUUUGAAAUAUUAACGUGGUUAAUCUCAAUGCUAUAUUUUAGUACCAAAAUUAGUGAUAUAGAAUUGAGUCAUGCGUUCAUCCAGCUGUUUUUCAGUACUGAAAUCAAUACUGCAAUAUUUACAUGCAUAAUCGCAGUACCGAAUAUUAGUAAAAAAUUUGUGAUAUACAGCUAAGUCUCGUGAUCAUCGUUUUGUUUUGAAGUCUUGAAAUCAGUAUUGAAAUAUUAAGUGGAUAAUCGCAAUACUGAAUUUUAAUACACAAAAUUAGUGAUAUACAACUGAGUGUGAUGAUCGUCAUUUUAUAUUUCAGUAUUGAAAUCAAUAUUGAUAUAUUAAUGUGGAUAAUCACAAUACUAAAUUUUAGUACUGAAAUUAGUGAUACACGACCGAGUCGGGUCAUCGUGGUGCUGUAUUUCAGUAUUGAAGUCAGUACGGAAAUGUUAACAUGUAUAAUCAUAAUACUGAGUUUUAAUACCAAAAUCAGUGAUAUAGAACUGAGUGAGGUGUUAGUCGUGCUAUUUUUUUGUACUCAAAUCAAUACUGACAUAUUAACAUAGAUAAUCGCAAUACUGAAUUUUAUACCGAAAUUAGUGAUAUAAAACUGAGUCAGGUCAUCCUAGUGCUAUUUUUAGUAUCGAAAUCAGUAUUGAAAAAUUAACGUGAAGAAUCACAAUACUGAAUUCUAGUACCAAAAUUAGUGAUAUACAAGUGAGUCGGGUGAUCUCGUUUUGUAUUUCAGUACUGAAAUCAGUAUUGAAAUAUUAAGGUGGAUAAUCACAAGACUGAAUUUCAGUACCGCAAUGAGUGAUAUAGAACAUAGUCGGGUCAUCUUGGUGAUCUAGUUCAGUAUUGAAAUCAGUACUGAAAUAUUAACGUGGAUAAUCAGAACACUGAAUUUUAGUACCGAAACUAGUGAUAUACAAUAGAGUCGGGUCAUCGUGGUGCGGUUUCCAAUAUUAAAUAUCAACGUGGAUAAUCACAAUACUAAGUUUUAGUACUGAAAUUAGUGAUAUAGAACCGAGUCAGGUGUUAGUCAAGCUAUUUUUGAGUACGCAAAUUAAUACUGAAAUACUAACAUGGAUAAUCACAAUGGUAAAAUUUAUACCGAAAUUAGUGAUAUAGAAGUGAGUCGGGUGAUCGUCGUUUUGUUUUUCAGUACUGAAAUCAGUAUUAAUGUAUUAAAGUGGAUAAUCGCAAUACUGAAUUUUAGUACCGAAAUGAGUGAUGUAAAACAUAGUCGGGUCAUGUUGGUGCUAUAUUUCAGUACUGAAAUCAAUAUUGAAAUAUUAAGGUGGAUAAUCACAAUACUGAAUUUUAGUACCGAAAUUAGAAAUUUACAACUCAGUCGGGUCAUCGUGGUGCUGUUUUUUCAGUAUCGAAAUGUUAACAUGUAUAAUCAUAAUACUGAGUUUUAAUACCAAAAUCAGUGAUAUCGAACUGAGUGAGGUGUUAGUCGUGCAAUUUUUUGUACUCAAAUCAAUACUGACAUAUUAACAUGGAUAAUCGCAAUACUGAAUUUUAUACCGAAAUUAGUGAUAUAAAACUGAGUCAGGUCAUCCUAGUGCAAUUUUUAGUAUUGAAAAAUUAACGUGAAGAAUCACAAUACUGAAUUCUAGUACCAAAAUUAGUGAUAUACAAGUGAGUCGGGUGAUCUCGUUUUGUAUUUCAGUACCGAAAUCAGUAUUGAAAUAUUAAGGUGGAUAAUCGCAAUACUGAAUUUCAGUACCGAAAUGAGUGAUAUAGAACAUAGUCGGGUCAUCUUGGUGAUCUAGUUCAGUAUUGAAAUCAGUACUGAAAUAUUAACGUGGAUAAUCAGAACACUGAAUUUUAGUACCGAAAUUAGUGAUAUACAAUCGAGUCGGGUCAUCGUGGUGCGGUUUUCAAUAUUAAAUAUUAGCGUGGAUAAUCACAAUACUAAGUUUUAGUACUGAAAUUAGUGAUAUAGAACCGAGUCAGGUGUUAGUCAAGCUAUUUUUUAGUACUCAAAUUAAUACUGAAAUACUAACAUGGAUAAUCACAAUAGUAAAAUUUAUACAGAAAUUAGUGAUAUAGAAGUGAGUCGGGUGAUCGUCGUUUUGUUUUUCAGUACUGAAAUUCUAUUAAAGUAUUAAAGAGGAUAAUCGCAAUACUGAAUUUUAGUACCAAAAUGAGUGAUGUAAAACAUAGUCGGGUCAUCUUGGUGCUAUAUUUCAGUACUAAAAUCAAUAUUGAAUUAUUAAGGCGGAUAAUCACAAUACUGAAUUUUAGUACCGAAAUUAGAAAUUUACAACUCAGUGGGGUCUUCGUGGUGCUGUUUUUUCAGUAUUGAAAUAUUAACGUGGUUAAUCUCAAUGCUAUAUUUUAGUACCAAAAUUAGUGAUAUAGAAUUGAGUCAUGCGUUCAUCCAGCUGUUUUUCAGUACUGAAAUCAAUACUGCAAUCUUUACAUGCAUAAUCGCAGUACCGAAUAUUAGUAACAAAUUUGUGAUAUACAGCUAAGUCUCGUGAUCAUCGUUUCGUUUUUAAGUCUCGAAAUCAGUAUUGAAAUAUUAAGUGGAUAAUCGCAAUACUGAAUUUUAAAACCAAAAUUAGUGAUAUACAACUGAGUGUGAUAAUCGUCAUUUUAUAUUUCAGUAUUGAAAUCAAUAUUGAUAUAUUAAUGUGGAUAAUCACAAUACUAAAUUUUAGUACUAAAAUUAGUGAUACACGACCGAGUCGGGUCAUCGUGGUGCUGUAUUUCAGUAUUGAAGUCAGUACGGAAAUGUUAACAUGUAUAAUCAUAAUAUUGAGUUUUAAUACCAAAAUCAGUAAUAUAGAACUGAGUGAGGUGUUAGUCGUGCUAUUUUUUAUACUCAAAUCAAUACUGACAUAUUAACAUAGAUAAUCGCAAUACUGAAUUUUAUACCGAAAUUAGUGAUAUAAAACUGAGUCCGGUCAUCCUAGUGCUAUUUUUAGUAUCGAAAUCAGUAUUGAAAAAUUAACGUGAAGAAUCACAAUACUGAAUUCUAGUACAAAAAUUAGUGAUAUACAGGUGAGUCGGGUGAUCUCGUUUUCUAUUUCAGUACUGAAAUUACUAUUGAAAUAUUAAGGUGGAUAAUCGCAAUACUUAAUUUCAGUACCGAAAUGAGUGAUAUAGAACAUAGUCGGGUCAUCUUGGUGAUCUAGUUCGGUAUUGAAAUCAGUACUGAAAUAUUAACGUGGUUAAUUAGAACACUGAAUUUUAGUACCGAAAUUAGUGAUAUACAAUCGAGUCGGGUCAUCGUGGUGCGGUUUUCAAUAUUAAAUAUUAACGUGGAUAAUCACAAUACUAAGGUUUAGUACUGAAACUAGUGAUAUAGAACCGAGUCAGGUGUUAGUCAAGCUAUUUUUGAGUACUCAAAUUAAUACUUAAAUACUAACAUGGAUAAUCACAAUAGUAAAAUUUAUACCGAAAUUAGUGAUAUAGAAGUGAGUCGGGUGAUCGUCGUUUUGUUUUUUAGUACUGAAAUAGUAUUAAAGUAUUAAAGUGGCUAAUCGCAAUACUCAAUUUUAGUACCGAAAUGAGUGAUGUAAAACAUAGUCGGGUCGUCUUGGUGCUAUAUUUCAGUACUGAAAUCAAUAUUGAAAUAUUAAGGUGGAUAAUCACAAUACUGAAUUUUAGUACCGAAAUUAGAAAUUUACAACUCAGUCGGGUCAUCGUGGUACUGUUUUUUCAGUAUUGAAAUAUUAACGUGGUUAAUCUCAAUGCUAUAUUUUAGUACCAAAAUUAGUGAUAUAGAAUUGAGUCAUGCGUUCAUCCAGCUGUUUUUCAGUACUGAAAUCAAUACUGCAAUAUUUACAUGGAUAAUCGCAGUACCGAAUAUUAGUAACAAAUUUGUGAUAUACAGCUAAGUCUCGUGAUCAUCGUUCUGUUUUUUCGUCUUGAAAUGAGUAUUGAAAUAUUAAGUGGAUAAUCGCAAUACUGAAUUUUAAUACCAAAAUUGGUGAUAUACAACUGAGUGUGAUGAUCGUCAUUUUAUAUUUCAGUAUUGAAAUCAAUAUUGAUAUAUUAAUGUGGAUAAUCACAAUACUAAAUUUUAGUACUGAAAUUAGUGAUACACGACCGAGUCGGGUCAUCGUGGUGCUGUAUUUCAGUAUUGAAGUCAGUACGGAAAUGUUAACAUGUAUAAUCAUAAUACUGAGUUUUAAUACCAAAAUCAGUGAUAUAGAACUGAGUGAGGUGUUAGUCGUGCUGUUUUUUUAUACUCAAAUCAAUACUGACAUAUUAACAUAGAUAGUCGCAAUACUGAAUUUUAUACCAAAAUUAGUGAUAUAAAACUGAGUCAGGUCAUCCUAGUGCUUUUUUUAGUAUUGAAAUCAGUAUUGAAAAAUUAACGUGAAGAAUCACAAUACUGAAUUCUAGUACCAAAAUUAGUGAUAUACAAGUUAGUCGGGUGAUCUCGUUUUGUAUUUCAGUACUGAAAUCAGUAUUGAAAUAUUAAGGUGGAUAAUGGCAAUACUGAAUUUCAGUACCGAAAUGAGUGAUAUAGAACAUAGUCGGGUCAUCUUGGUGAUCGAGUUCAGUAUUGAAAUCAGUACUGAAAUAUUAACGUGGAUAAUCAGAACACUAAAUUUUAGUACCGAAAUUAGUGAUAUACAAACGAGUCGGGUCGUCGUGGUGCGGUUUUUAAUAUUAAAUAUGAACGUGGAUAAUCACAACGUUUUAGUACCGAAAUUAGUGAUAUAGAACCGACUCAGGUGUUAGUCAAGCUAUUUUUGAGUACUCAAAUUAAUACUGAAAUACUAACAUGGAUAAUCGCAAUAGUAAAAUUUAUACCAAAAUUAGUGAUAUAGAAGUGAGUCGGGUGAUCGUCGUUUUGUUUUUCAGUACUGAAAUCAGUAUUAAAGUAUUAAAGUGGCUAAUCGCAAUACUCAAUUUUAGUACCGAAAUGAGUGAUGUAAAACAUAGUCGGGUCAUCUUGGUGCUAUAUUUCAGUACUGAAAUCAAUAUUGAAAUAUUAAGGUGGAUAAUCACAAUACUGAAUUUUAGUACCGAAAUUAGAAAUUUACAACUCAGUCGGGUCAUCGUGGUACUGUUUUUUCAGUAUUGAAAUAUUAACGUGGUUAAUCUCAAUGCUAUAUUUUAGUACCAAAAUUAGUGAUAUAGAAUUGAGUCAUGCGUUCAUCCAGCUGUUUUUCAGUACUGAAAUCAAUACUGCAAUAUUUACAUGGAUAAUCGCAGUACCGAAUAUUAGUAACAAAUUUGUGAUAUACAGCUAAGUCUCGUGAUCAUCGUUCUGUUUUUUCGUCUUGAAAUGAGUAUUGAAAUAUUAAGUGGAUAAUCGCAAUACUGAAUUUUAAUACCAAAAUUGGUGAUAUACAACUGAGUGUGAUGAUCGUCAUUUUAUAUUUCAGUAUUGAAAUCAAUAUUGAUAUAUUAAUGUGGAUAAUCACAAUACUAAAUUUUAGUACUGAAAUUAGUGAUACACGACCGAGUCGGGUCAUCGUGGUGCUGUAUUUCAGUAUUGAAGUCAGUACGGAAAUGUUAACAUGUAUAAUCAUAAUACUGAGUUUUAAUACCAAAAUCAGUGAUAUAGAACUGAGUGAGGUGUUAGUCGUGCUGUUUUUUUAUACUCAAAUCAAUACUGACAUAUUAACAUAGAUAGUCGCAAUACUGAAUUUUAUACCAAAAUUAGUGAUAUAAAACUGAGUCAGGUCAUCCUAGUGCUUUUUUUAGUAUUGAAAUCAGUAUUGAAAAAUUAACGUGAAGAAUCACAAUACUGAAUUCUAGUACCAAAAUUAGUGAUAUACAAGUUAGUCGGGUGAUCUCGUUUUGUAUUUCAGUACUGAAAUCAGUAUUGAAAUAUUAAGGUGGAUAAUGGCAAUACUGAAUUUCAGUACCGAAAUGAGUGAUAUAGAACAUAGUCGGGUCAUCUUGGUGAUCGAGUUCAGUAUUGAAAUCAGUACUUAAAUAUUAACGUGGAUAAUCAGAACACUAAAUUUUAGUACCGAAAUUAGUGAUAUACAAACGAGUCGGGUCGUCGUGGUGCGGUUUUUAAUAUUAAAUAUGAACGUGGAUAAUCACAAUGUUUUAGUACCGAAAUUAGUGAUAUAGAACCGACUCAGGUGUUAGUCAAGCUAUUUUUGAGUACUCAAAUUAAUACUGAAAUACUAACAUGGAUAAUCGCAAUAGUAAAAUUUAUACCAAAAUUAGUGAUAUAGAAGUGAGUCGGGUGAUCGUCGUUUUGUUUUUCAGUACUGAAAUCAGUAUUAAAGUAUUAAAGUGGCUAAUCGCAAUACUCAAUUUUAGUACCGAAAUGAGUGAUGUAAAACAUAGUCGGGUCAUCUUGGUGCUAUAUUUCAGUACUGAAAUCAAUAUUGAAAUAUUAAGGUGGAUAAUCACAAUACUGAAUUUUAGUACCGAAAUUAGAAAUUUACAACUCAGUCGGGUCAUCGUGGUACUGUUUUUUCAGUAUUGAAAUAUUAACGUGGUUAAUGUCAAUGCUAUAUUUUAGUACCAAAAUUAGUGAUAUAGAAUUGAGUCAUGCGUUCAUCCAGCUGUUUUUCAGUACUGAAAUCAAUACUGCAAUAUUUACAUGGAUAAUCGCAGUACCGAAUAUUAGUAACAAAUUUGUGAUAUACAGCUAAGUCUCGUGAUCAUCGUUCUGUUUUUUCGUCUUGAAAUGAGUAUUGAAAUAUUAAGUGGAUAAUCGCAAUACUGAAUUUUAAUACCAAAAUUGGUGAUAUACAACUGAGUGUGAUGAUCGUCAUUUUAUAUUUCAGUAUUGAAAUCAAUAUUGAUAUAUUAAUGUGGAUAAUCACAAUACUAAAUUUUAGUACUGAAAUUAGUGAUACACGACCGAGUCGGGUCAUCGUGGUGCUGUAUUUCAGUAUCGAAGUCAGUACGGAAAUGUUAACAUGUAUAAUCAUAAUACUAAGUUUUAAUACCAAAAUCAGUGAUAUAGAACUGAGUGAGGUGUUAGUCGUGCUAUUUUUUUGUACUCAAAUCAAUACUGACAUAGUAACAUAGAUAAUCGCAAUACUGAAUUUUAUACCGAAAUUAGUGAUAUAAAACUGAGUCAGGUCAUCCUAGUGCUAUUUUUAGUAUUGAAAUCAGUAUUGAAAAAUUAACGUGAAGAAUCACAAUACUGAAUUCUAGUACCAAAAUUAGUGAUAUACAAGUGAGUCGGGUGAUCUCGUUUUGUAUUUCAGUACUGAAAUUAGUAUUGAAAUAUUAAGGUGGAUAAUCGCAAUACUUAAUUUCAGUACCGAAAUGAGUGAUAUAGAACAUAGUCGGGUCAUCUUGGUGAUCUAGUUCAGUAUUGAAAUCAGUACUGAAAUAUUAACGUGGUUAAUCAGAACACUGAAUUUUUGUACCGAAAUUAGUGAUAUACAAUCGAGUCGGGUCAUCAUGGUGCGGUUUUCAAUAUUAAAUAUUACCGUGGAUAAUCACAAUACUAAGGUUUAGUACUGAAACUAGUGAUAUAGAACCGAGUCAGGUGUUAGUCAAGCUAUUUUUGAGUACUCAAAUUAAUACUGAAAUACUAACAUGGAUAAUCACAAUAGUAAAAUUUAUACCGAAAUUAGUGAUAUAGAAGUGAGUCAGGUGAUCGUCGUUUUGUUUUUUAGUACUGAAAUAGUAUUAAAGUAUCAAAGUGGAUAAUCGCAAUACUCAAUUUUAGUACCGAAAUGAGUGAUGUAAAACAUAGUCGGGUCAUCUUGGUUGCUAUAUUUCAGUACUGAAAUCAAUAUUGAAAUAUUAAGGUGGAUAAUCACAAUACUGAAUUUUAGUACCGAAAUUAGAAAUUUACAACUCAGUCGGGUCAUCGUGGUGCUGUUUUUUCAGUAUUGAAAUAUUAACGUGGUUAAUCUCAAUUCUAUAUUUUAGUACCAAAAUUAGUGAUAUAGAAUUGAGUCACGCGUUCAUCCAGCUGUUUUUCAGUACUGAAAUCAAUACUGCAAUAUUUACGUGGAUAAUCGCAGUACCGAAUAUUAGUAACAAAUUUGUGAUAUACAGCUAAGUCUCGUGAUCAUCGUUCUAUUUUUUAGUCUUGAAAUGAGUAUUGAAAUAUUAAGUGGAUAAUCGCAAUACUGAAUUUUAAUACCAAAAUUAGUGAUAUACAACUGAGUGUGAUGAUCGUCAUUUUAUAUUUCAGUAUUGAAAUCAAUAUUGAUAUAUUAAUGUGGAUAAUCACAAUACUAAAUUUUAGUACUGAAAUUAGUGAUACACGACCGAGUCGGGUCAUCGUGGUGCUGUAUUUCAGUAUUGAAGUCAGUACGGAAAUGUUAACAUGUAUAAUCAUAAUACUGAGUUUUAAUACCAAAAUCAGUGAUAUAGAACUAAGUGAGGUGUUAGUCGUGCUAUUUUUUGUACUCAAAUCAAUACUGACAUAUUAACAUAGAUAAUCGCAAUACUGAAUUUUAUACCGAAAUUAGUGAUAUAAAACUGAGUCAGGUCAUCCUAGUGCUAUUUUUAGUAUUGAAAUCAGUAUUGAAAACUUAACGUGAAGAAUCACAAUACUGAAUUCUAGUACCAAAAUUAGUGAUAUACAAGUUAAUCGGGUGAUCUCGUUUUGUAUUUCAGUACUGAAAUCAGUAUUGAAAUGUUAAGGUGGAUAAUCGCAAUACAGAAUUUUAGUACCGAAAUGGGUGAUGUAAAACAUAGUCAGGUCAUCUUGGUGCUAUAUUUCAGUACUGAAAUCAAUAUUGAAAUAUUAAGGUGGAUAAUCACCAUACUGAAUUUUAGUAUCAAAAUUAGAAAUUUACAACUCAGUCGGGUCAUCGUGGUGCUGUUUUUUCAGUAUUGAAAUAUUAACGUGGUUAAUCUCAAUGCUAUAUUCUAGUACCAAAAUUAGUGAUAUAGAAUUGAGUGAGGCGUUCAUCCAGCUGUUUUUCAGUACUGAAAUCAAUACUGCAAUAUUUACAUGGAUAAUCGCAGUACCGAAUAUUAGUAACAAAUUUGUGAUAUACAGCUAAGUCUCGUGAUCAUCGUUUCGUUUUUAUGUCUUGAAAUAAGUAUUGAAAUAUUAAGUGGAUAAUCGCAAUACUGAAUUUUAAAACCAAAAUUAGUGAUAUACAACUGAGUGUGAUAAUCGUCAUUUUAUAUUUCAGUAUUGAAAUCAAUAUUGAUAUAUUAAUGUGGAUAAUCACAAUAGUAAAUUUUAGUACUAAAAUUAGUGAUACACGACCGAGUCGGGUCAUCGUGGUGCUGUAUUUCAGUACUGAAGUCAGUACGGAAAUGUUAACAUGUAUAAUCAUAAUACUGAGUUUUAAUACCAAAAUCAGUGAUAUAGAACUGAGUGAGGUGUUAGUCGUGCUAUUUUUUGUACUCAAAGCAAUACUAACAUAUUAACAUAGAUAAUCGCAAUACUGAAUUUUAUACCAAAAUUAGUGAUAUAAAACUGAGUCAGGUCAUCCUAGUGCUAUUUUUAGUAUUGAAAUCAGUAUUGAAAAAUUAACGUGAAGAAUCACAAUACUGAAUUCUAGUACCAAAAUUAGUGAUAUACAAGUUAGUCGGGUGAUCUCGUUUUGUAUUUCAGUACUGAAAUCAGUAUUGAAAUGUUAAGGUGGAUAAUCGCAAUACAGAAUUUUAGUACCGAAAUGAGUGAUGUAAAACAUAGUCGGGUCAUCUUGGUGCUAUAUUUCAGUACUGAAAUCAAUAUUGAAAUAUUAAGGUGGAUAAUCACCAUACUGAAUUUUACUAUCGAAAUUAGAAAUUUACAACUCAGUAGGGUCAUCGUGGUGCUGUUUUUUCAGUAUUGAAAUAUUAACGCGGUUAAUCUCAAUGCUAUAUUUUAGUACCAAAAUUAGUGAUAUAGAAUUGAGUGAGGCGUUCAUCCAGCUGUUUUUCAGUACUGAAAUCAAUACUGCAAUAUUUACAUGGAUAAUCGCAGUACCGAAUAUUAGUAACAAAUUUCUGAUAUACAGCUAAGUCUCGUGAUCAUCGUUUCGUUUUUAUGUCUUGAAAUAAGUAUUCAAAUAUUAAGUGGAUAAUCGCAAUACUGAAUUUUAAAACCAAAAUUAGUGAUAUACAACUGAGUGUGAUAAUCGUCAUUUUAUAUUUCAGUAUUGAAAUCAAUAUUGAUAUAUUAAUGUGGAUAAUCACAAUACUAAAUUUAUUACUAAAAUUAGUGAUACACGACCGAGUCGGGUCAUCGUGGUGCUGUAUUUCAGUAUUGAAGUCAGUACGGAAAUGUUAACAUGUAUAAUCAUAAUACUGAGUUUUAAUACCAAAAUCAGUGAUAUAGAACUGAGUGAGGUUUAGUCGUGCAAUUUUUUUAUACUCAAAUCAAUACUGACAUAUUAACAUAGAUAAUCGCAAUACUGAAUUUUAUACCGAAAUUAGUGAUAUAAAACUGAGUCAGGUCAUCCUAGUGCUAUUUUUAGUAUUGAAAUCAGUAUUGAAAAAUUAACGUGAAGAAUCACAAUACUGGAUUCUAGUACCAAAAUUAGUGAUAUACAAGUGAGUCGGGUGAUCUCGCUUUGUAUUUCAGUACUGAAAUCAGUAUUGAAAUAUUAAGGUGGAUAAUCACAAUACUGAAUUUCAGUACCGAAAUGAGUGAUAUAGAACAUAGUCGGGUCAUCUUGGUGAUCUAGUUCAGUAUUGAAAUCAGUACUGAAAUAUUAACGUGGAUAAUCAAAACACUGAAUUUUAGUACCGAAAUUAGUGAUAUACAAUCGAGUCGGGUCAUCGUGGUGCGGUUUUCAAUAUUAAAUAUUAACGUGGAUAAUCACAAUACUAAGCUUUAGUACUGAAAUUAGUAAUAUAGAACCGAGUCAGGUGUUAGUCAAGCUAUUUUUGAGUACUCAAAUUAAUACUGAAAUACUAACAUGGAUAAUCACAAUAGUAAAAUUUACACCGAAAUUAGUGAUAUAGUUGUGAGUCGGGCGAUCGUCGUUUUGUUUUUCAGUACUGAAAUCAGUAUUAAAGUAUUCAAGUGGAUAAUCGCAAUACCGAAUUUUAGUACCGAAAUGAGUGAUGUAAAACAUAGUCGGGUCAUCUUGGGGCUAUAGUUCAGUACUGAAAUCAAUAUUGAAAUAUUAAGGUGGAUAAUCACAAUACUGAAUUUUAGUACCGAAAUUAGAAAUUUACAACUCAGUCGGGUCAUCGUGGUGCUGUUUUUUCAGUAUUGAAAUAUUAACGUGGUUAAUCUCAAUGCUAUAUUUUAGUACCAAAAUUAGUGAUAUAGAAUUGAGUCAUGCGUUCAUCCAGCUAUUUUUCAGUACUGAAAUCAAUACUGCAAUAUUUACAUGGGUAAUCGCAGUACCGAAUAUUAGUAACAAAUUUGUGAUAUACAGCUAAGUCUCGUGAUCAUCGUUUCGUUUUUAAGUCUUGAAAUCAGUAUUGAAAUAUUAAGUGGAUAAUCGCAAUACUGAAUUUUAAAACAAAAAUUAGUGAUAUACAACUGAGUGUGAUGAUCGUCAUUUUAUAUUUCAGUAUUGAAAUCAAUAUUGAUAUAUUAAUGUGGAUAAUCACAAUACUAAAUUUUAGUACUGAAAUUAGUGAUACACGACCGAGUCGGGUCAUCGUGGUGCUGUAUUUCAGUAUUGAAGUCAGUACGGAAAUGUUAACAUGUAUAAUCAUAAUACUGAGUUUUAAUACCAAAAUCAGUGAUAUAGAACUGAGUGGGGUGUUAGUCGUGCUGUUUUUUUAUACUCAAAUCAAUACUGACAUAUUAACAUAGAUAGUCGCAAUACUGAAUUUUAUACCGAAAUUAGUGAUAUAAAACUGAGUCAGGUCAUCCUAGUGCUAUUUUUAGUAUUGAAAUCAGUAUUGAAAAAUUAACGUAAAGAAUCACAAUACUGAAUUCUAGUACCAAAAUUAGUGAUAUACAAGUUAGUCGGGUGAUCUCGUUUUGUAUUUCAGUACUGAAAUCAGUAUUGAAAUAUUAAGGUGGAUAAUGGCAAUACUGAAUUUCAGUACCGCAAUGAGUGAUAUAGAAUAUAGUCGGGUCAUCUUGGUGAUCUAGUUCAGUAUUGAAAUCAGUACUGAUAUAUUAACGUGGAUAAUCAGAACACUGAAUUUUAGUACCGAAAUUAGUGAUAUACAAUCGAGUCGGAUCAUCGUGGUGCGGUUUUCAAUAUUAAAUAUUAACGUGGAUAAUCACAAUACUAAGCUUUAGUACUGAAAUUAGUAAUAUAGAACCGAGUCAGGUGUUAGUCAAGCUAUUUUUGAGUACUCAAAUUAAUACUAAAAUACUAACAUGGAUAAUCACAAUAGUAAAAUUUAUACCGAAAUUAGUGAUAUAGUUGUGAGUCGGGCGAUCGUCGUUUUGUUUUUCAGUACUGAAAUCAGUAUUAAAGUAUUCAAGUGGAUAAUCGCAAUACCGAAUUUUAGUACCGAAAUGAGUGAUGUAAAACAUAGUCGGGUCAUCUUGGUGCUAUAUUUCAGUACUGAAAUCAAUAUUGAAAUAUUAAGGUGGAUAAUCACAAUACUGAAUUUUAGUACCGAAAUUAGAAAUUUACAACUCAGUCGGGUCAUCGUGGUGCUGUUUUUCAGUAUUGAAAUAUUAACGUGGUUAAUCUCAAUGCUAUAUUUUAGUACCAAAAUUAGUGAUAUAGAAUUGAGUCAUGCGUUCAUCCAGCUGUUUUUCAGUACUGAAAUCAAUACUGCAAUAUUUACAUGGAUAAUCGCAGUACCGAAUAUUAGUAACAAAUUUGUGAUAUACAGCUAAGUCUCGUGAUCAUCGUUUUGUUUUUAAGUCUUAAAAUCAGUAUUGAAAUAUUAAGUGGAUAAUCGCAAUACUGAAUUUUAAAACCAAAAUUAGUGAUAUACAACUGAGUGUGACGAUCGUCAUUUUAUAUUUCAGUAUUGAAAUCAAUAUUGAUAUAUUAAUGUGGAUAAUCACAAUACUAAAUUUUAGUACUGAAAUUAGUGAUACACGACCGAGUCGGGUCAUCGUGGUGCUGUAUUUCAGUAUUGAAGUCAGUACGGAAAUGUUAACAUGUAUAAUCAUAAUACUGAGUUUUAAUACCAAAAUCAGUGAUAUAGAACUGAGUGAGGUGUUAGUCGUGUUGUUUUUUUAUACUCAAAUCAAUACUGACAUAUUAACAUAGAUAGUCGCAAUACUGAAUUUUAUACCAAAAUUAGUGAUAUAAAACUGAGUCAGGUCAUCCUAGUGCUAUUUUUAGUAUUGAAAUCAGUAUUGAAAAAUUAACGUGAAGAAUCACAAUACUGAAUUCUAGUACCAAAAUUAGUGAUAUACAAGUUAGUCGGGUGAUCUCGUUUUGUAUUUCAGUACUGAAAUCAGUAUUGAAAUAUUAAGGUGGAUAAUGGCAAUACUGAAUUUCAGUACCGCAAUGAGUGAUAUAGAACAUAGUCGGGUCAUCUUGGUGAUCUAGUUCAGUAUUGAAAUCAGUACUGAAAUAUUAACGUGGAUAAUCAGAACACUGAAUUUCAGUACCGAAAUUAGUGAUAUACAAUCGAGUCGGGUCAUCAUGGUGCGGUUUUCAAUAUUAAAUAUUAACGUGGAUAAUCACAAUACUAAGUUUUAGUACUGAAAUUAGUGAUAUAGAACCGAGUCGGGUGUUAGUCAAGCUAUUUUUGAGUACUCAAAUUAUACUAAAAUAGUAACAUGGAUAAUCACAAUAGUAAAUUUAUACAGAAAUUAGUGAUAUAGAAGUUUGUCGGGUAAUCGUCGUUUUGUUUUUCAGUACUGUAAUCAGUAUUAAAGUGGAUAAUCGCAAUACUGAAUUUUAGUACCGAGAUGAGUGAUGUAAAACAUAGUCGGGUCAUCUUGGUGCUAUAUUUCAGUACUGAAAUCAAUGUUGAAAUAUUAAGGUGGAUAAUCACAAUACUGAAUUUUAGUACCGAAAUUAGAAAUUUACAACUCAGUGGGGUCUUCGUGGUGCUGUUUUUUCAGUAUUGAAAUAUUAACGUGGUUAAUCUCAAUGCUAUAUUUUAGUACCAAAAUUAGUGACAUAGAAUUGAGUCAUGCGUUCAUCCAGCUGUUUUUCAGUACUGAAAUCAAUACUGCAAUAUUUACAUGGAUAAUCGCAGUACCGAAUAUUAGUAACAAAUUUGUGAUAUAGAGCUAAGUCUUGUGAUCAUCGUUUUGUUUUUAAGUCUUGAAAUCAGUAUUGAAAUAUUAAGUGGAUAAUCGCAAUACUGAAUUAUAAUACCAAAAUUAGUGAUAUACAAGUGAGUGUGAUGAUCGUCAUUUUAUAUUUCAGUAUUGAAAUCAAUAUUGAUAAAUUAGUGUGGAUAAUCACAAUACUAAAUUUUAGUACUGAAAUUAGUAAUACACUACCGAGUCGGGUCAUCGUGGUGCUGUAUUUCAGUAUUGAAGUCAGUACGGAAAUGUUAACAUGUAUAAUCAUAAUACUGAGUUUUAAUACCAAAAUCAGUGAUAUAGAACUGAGUGAGGUGUUAGUCGUCCUAUUUUUUUGUACUCAAAUCAAUACUGACAUAUUAACAUAGAUAAUCCCAAUACUGAAUUUUAUACCGAAAUUAGUGAUAUAAAACUGAGUCAGGUCAUCCUAGUGCUAUUUUUAGUAUUGAAAUCAGUAUUGAAAAAUUAACCUGAAGAAUCACAAUACUGAAUUCUAGUACCAAAAUUAGUGAUAUACAAGUGAGUCGGGAUAUCUCGUUUUGUAUUUCAGUAUUGAAAUAUUAAAGUGGAUAAUCGCAAUACUGAAUUUCAGUACCGAAAUGAGUGAUAUAGAACAAAGUCGGGUUAUCUUGGUGAUCUAGUUUAGUAUUGAAAUCAGUACUGAAAUAUUAACGUGGAUAAUCAGAACACUGAAUUUUAGUACCGAAAAUAGUGAUAUACAAUCGACUCGGGUCAUCGUGGUGCGGUUUUCAAUAUUAAAUAUUAACGUGGAUAAUCACAAUACUAAGUUUUAGUACUGAAAUUAGUGAUAUAGAACCGAGUAAGGUGUUAAUCAAGCUAUUUUUGAGUACUCAAAUUAAUACUGAAAUACUAACAUGGAUAAUCACAAUAGUAAAAUUUAUACCAAAAUUAGUGAUAUAGAAGUGAGUCGGGUGAUCGUCGUUUUGUUUUUCAGUACUGAAAUCAGUAUUAAAGUAUUAAAGUGGAUAAUCGCAAUACUGAAUUUUAGUACCGAAAUGAGUGAUGUAAAACAUAGUCGAGUCAUGUUGGUGCUAUAUUUCAGUACUGAAAUCAAUAUUGAAAUAUUAAGGUGGAAAAUCACAAUACUGAAUUUUAGUACCGAAAUUAGAAAUUUACAACUCAGUCGGGUCAUCGUGGUGCUGUUUUUUCAGUAUCGAAAUAUUAACGUGGUUAAUCUCAAUGCUAUAUUUUAGUACCAAAAUUAGUGAUAUAGAAUUGAGUCAUGCGUUCAUCCAGCUGUUUUUCAGUACUGAAAUCAAUACUGCAAUAUUUACAUGGAUAAUCGCAGUACCGAAUAUUAGUAACAAAUUUGUGAUAUACAGCUAAGUCUCGUGAUCAUCGUUUCGUUUUUAAGUCUCGAAAUCAGUAUUGAAGUAUUAAGUGGAUAAUCGCAAUACUGAAUUUUAAAACCAAAAUUAGUGAUAUACAACUGAGAGUGAUAAUCGUGAUUUUAUAUUUCAGUAUUGAAAUCAAUAUUGAUAUAUUAAUGUGGAUAAUCACAAUACUAAAUUUUAGUACUAAAAUUAGUGAUACACGACCGAGUCGGGUCAUCGUGGUGCUGUAUUUCAGUAUUGAAGUCAGUACGGAAAUGUUAACAUGUAUAAUCAUAAUAUUGAGUUUUAAUACAAAAAUCAGUAAUAUAGAACUGAGUGAGGUGUUAGUCGUGCUAUUUUUUAUACUCAAAUCAAUACUGACAUAUUAACAUAGAUAAUCGCAAUACUGAAUUUUAUACCGAAAUUAGUGAUAUAAAACUGAGUCAGGUCAUCCUAGUGCUAUUUUUAGUAUUGAAAUCAGUAUUGAAAAACUAACGUGAAGAAUCACAAUACUGAAUUCUAGUACCAAAAUUAGUGAUAUACAAGUUAGUCGGGUGAUCUCGUUUUGUAUUUCAGUACUGAAAUCAGUAUUGAAAUGUUAAGGUGGAUAAUCGCAAUACUGAAUUUCAGUACCGAAAUGAGUGAUAUAGAACAUGGUCGGGUCAUCUUGGUGAUCUAGUUCAGUUUUGAAAUCAGUACUGAAAUAUUAACGUGGAUAAUCAGAACACUGAAUUUUAGUACCGAAAUUAGUGAUAUGCAAUCGAGUCGGGUCCUCGUGGUGCGGUUUUCAAUAUUAAAUAUUAACGUGGAUAAUCACAAUACUAAGUUUUAGUACUGAAAUUAGUGAUAUAGAACCGAGUCAGGUGUUAGUUAAGCUAUUUUUGAGUACUCAAAUUAAUACUGAAAUACUAACAUGGAUAAUCACCAUAGUAAAAUUUAUACCAAAAUUAGUGAUAUAGAAGUGAGUCGGGUGAUCGUCGUUUUGUUUUUAGUACUGAAAUCAGUAUUAAAGUAUUAAAGUGGAUAAUCGCAAUACUGAAUUUUAGUACCGAAAUGAGUGAUGUAACACAUAGUCGGGUCAUGUUGGUGCUAUAUUUCAGUACUGAAAUCAAUAUUGAAAUAUGAAGGUGGAUAAUCACAAUACUGAAUUUAGUACUGAAAUUAGAAAUUUACAACUAAGUCGGGUCAUCGUGGUGCUGUUUUUUCAGUAUCGAAAUAUUAACGUGGUUAAUCUCAAUGCUAUAUUUUAGUACCAAAAUUAGUGAUAUAGAAUUGAGUCAUGCGUUCAUCCAUCUAUUUUUCAGUACUGAAAUCAAUACUGCAAUAUUUACAUGGAUAAUCGCAGUACCGAAUAUUAGUAACAAAUUUGUGAUAUACAGCUAAGUCUCGUGAUCAUCGUUUUGUUUUUAAGUCUCGAAAUCAGUAUUGAAAUAUUAAGUGGAUAAUCGCAAUACUGAAUUUUAAAACCAAAAUUAGUGAUAUACAACUGAGUGUGAUGAUCGUCAUUUUAUAUUUCAGUAUUGAAAUCAAUAUUGAUAUAUUAAUGUGGAUAAUCACAAUACUAAAUUUUAGUACUGAAAUUAGUGAUACACGACCGAGUCGGGUCAUCGUGGUGCUGUAUUUCAGUAUUGAAGUCAGUACGGAAAUGUUAACAUGUAUAAUCAUAAUACUGAGUUUUAAUACCAAAAUCAGUGAUAUAGAACUGAGUGAGGUCUUAGUCGUGCUAUUUUUUUGUACUCAAAUCAAUACUGACAUAUUAACAUAGAUAAUCGCAAUACUGAAUUUUAUACCGAAAUUAAUGAUAUAAAACUCAGUUAGGUCAUCCUAGUGCUAUUUUUAGUAUCGAAAUCAGUAUUGAAAAAUUAACGUGAAGAAUCACAAUACUGAAUUCUAGUACAAAAAUUAGUGAUAUACAAGUGAGUCGGGUGAUCUCAUUUUGUAUUUCAGUACUGAAAUCAGUACUGAAAUCUUAAGGUGGAUAAUCGCAAUAUUGAAUUACAGUACCGAAAUGAGUGAUAUAGAACAUAGUCGGGUCAUCUUGGUGAUCUAGUUCAGUAUUGAAAUCAGUACUAAAAUAUUAACGUGGAUAAUCAGAACACUGAAUUUUAGUACCGAAAUUAGUGAUACACUAUCGAGUCGGGUCAUCGUGGUGCGUUUGCAAUAUUAAAUAUCAACGUGGAUAAUCACAAUACUAAGUUUUAGUACUGAAAUUAGUGAUAUAGAACCGAGUCAGGUGUUAGUCAAGCUAUUUUUGAGUACGCAAAUUAAUACUGAAAUACUAACAUGGAUAAUCACAAUAGUAAAAUUUAUACCAAAAUUAGUGAUAUAGAAGUGAGUCGGGUGAUCGUCGUUUUGUUUUUCAGUACUGAAAUCAGUAUUAAUGUAUUAAAGUGGAUAAUCGCAAUACUGAAUUUUAGUACCGAAAUGAGUGAUGUAAAACAUAGUCGGGUCAUGUUGGUGCUAUAUUUCAGUACUGAAAUCAAUAUUGAAAUAUUAAGGUGGAUAAUCACAAUACUGAAUUUUAGUACCGAAAUUAGAAAUUUACAACUCAGUCGGGUCAUCGUGGUGCUGUUUUUUCAGUAUCGAAAUGUUAACAUGUAUAAUCAUAAUACUGAGUUUUAAUACCAAAAUCAGUGAUAUCGAACUGAGUGAGGUGUUAGUCGUGCUAUUUUUUGUACUCAAAUCAAUACUGACAUAUUAACAUAGAUAAUCGCAAUACUGAAUUUUAUACCGAAAUUAGUGAUAUAAAACUGAGUCAGGUCAUCCUAGUGCUAUUUUUAGUAUUGAAAUCAGUAUUGAAAAAUUAACGUGAAGAAUCACAAUACUGAAUUCUAGUACCAAAAUUAGUGAUAUACAAGUGAGUCGGGUGAUCUCGUUUUGUAUUUCAGUACCAAAAUCAGUAUUGAAAUAUUAAGGUGGAUAAUCGCAAUACUGAAUUUCAGUACCGAAAUGAGUGAUAUAGAACAUAGUCGGGUCAUCUUGGUGAUCUAUGUCAGUAUUGAAAUCAGUACUGAAAUAUUAACGUGGAUAAUCAGAACACUGAAUUUUAGUACCGAAAUUAGUGAUAUACAAUCGAGUCGGGUCAUCGUGGUGCGGUUUUCAAUAUUAAAUAUUAGCGUGGAUAAUCACAAUACUAAGUUUUAGUACUGAAAUUAGUGAUAUAGAACCGAGUCAGGUGUUAGUCAAGCUAUUUUUUAGUACUCAAAUUAAUACUGAAAUACUAACAUGGAUAAUCACAAUAGUAAAAUUUAUACAGAAAUUAGUGAUAUAGAAGUGAGUCGGGUGAUCGUCGUUUUGUUUUUCAGUACUGAAAUUCUAUUAAAGUAUUAAAGUGGAUAAUCGCAAUACUGAAUUUUAGUACCGAAAUGAGUGAUGUAAAACAUAGUCGGGUCAUCUUGGUGCUAUAUUUCAGUACUAAAAUCAAUAUUGAAUUAUUAAGGCGGAUAAUCACAAUACUGAAUUUUAGUACCGAAAUUAGAAAUUUACAACUCAGUGGGGUCUUCGUGGUGCUGUUUUUUCAGUAUUGAAAUAUUAACGUGGUUAAUCUCAAUGCUAUAUUUUAGUACCAAAAUUAGUGAUAUAGAAAUGAGUCAUGCGUUCAUCCAGCUGUUUUUCAGUACUGAAAUCAAUACUGCAAUAUUUACAUGCAUAAUCGCAGUACCGAAUAUUAGUAACAAAUUUGUGAUAUACAGCUAAGUCUCGUGAUCAUCGUUUCGUUUUUAAGUCUCGAAAUCAGUAUUGAAAUAUUAAGUGGAUAAUCGCAAUACUGAAUUUUAAAACCAAAAUUAGUGAUAUACAACUGAGUGUGAUAAUCGUCAUUUUAUAUUUCAGUAUUGAAAUCAAUAUUGAUAUAUUAAUGGGGAUAAUCACAAUACUAAAUUUUAGUACUAAAAUUAGUGAUACACGACCGAGUCGGGUCAUCGUGGUGCUGUAUUUCAGUAUUGAAGUCAGUACGGAAAUGUUAACAUGUAUAAUCAUAAUAUUGAGUUUUAAUACCAAAAUCAGUAAUAUAGAACUGAGUGAGGUGUUAGUCGUGCUAUUUUUUAUACUCAAAUCAAUACUGACAUAUUAACAUAGAUAAUCGCAAUACUGAAUUUUAUACCGAAAUUAGUGAUAUAAAACUGAGUCAGGUCAUCCUAGUGCUAUUUUUAGUAUGGAAAUCAGUAUUGAAAAACUAACGUGAAGAAUCACAAUACUGAAUUCUAGUACCAAAAUUAGUGAUAUACAAGUUAGUCGGGUGAUCUCGUUUUGUAUUUCAGUACUGAAAUCAGUAUUGAAAUGUUAAGGUGGAUAAUCGCAAUACUGAAUUUCAGUACCGAAAUGAGUGAUAUAGAACAUGGUCGGGUCAUCUUGGUGAUCUAGUUCAGUUUUGAAAUCAGUACUGAAAUAUUAACGUGGAUAAUCAGAACACUGAAUUUUAGUACCGAAAUUAGUGAUAUGCAAUCGAGUCGGGUCCUCGUGGUGCGGUUUUCAAUAUUAAAUAUUAACGUGGAUAAUCACAAUGCUAAGUUUUAGUACUGAAAUUAGUGAUAUAGAACCGAGUCAGGUGUUAGUUAAGCUAUUUUUGAGUACUCAAAUUAAUACUGAAAUACUAACAUGGAUAAUCACCAUAGUAAAAUUUAUACCAAAAUUAGUGAUAUAGAAGUGAGUCGGGUGAUCGUCGUUUUGUUUUUAGUACUGAAAUCAGUAUUAAAGUAUUAAAGUGGAUAAUCGCAAUACUGAAUUUUAGUACCGAAAUGAGUGAUGUAACACAUAGUCGGGUCAUGUUGGUGCUAUAUUUCAGUACUGAAAUCAAUAUUGAAAUAUGAAGGUGGAUAAUCACAAUACUGAAUUUAGUACUGAAAUUAGAAAUUUACAACUAAGUCGGGUCAUCGUGGUGCUGUUUUUUCAGUAUCGAAAUAUUAACGUGGUUAAUCUCAAUGCUAUAUUUUAGUACCAAAAUUAGUGAUAUAGAAUUGAGUCAUGCGUUCAUCCAUCUAUUUUUCAGUACUGAAAUCAAUACUGCAAUAUUUACAUGGAUAAUCGCAGUACCGAAUAUUAGUAACAAAUUUGUGAUAUACAGCUAAGUCUCGUGAUCAUCGUUUUGUUUUUAAGUCUCGAAAUCAGUAUUGAAAUAUUAAGUGGAUAAUCGCAAUACUGAAUUUUAAAACCAAAAUUAGUGAUAUACAACUGAGUGUGAUGAUCGUCAUUUUAUAUUUCAGUAUUGAAAUCAAUAUUGAUAUAUUAAUGUGGAUAAUCACAAUACUAAAUUUUAGUACUGAAAUUAGUGAUACACGACCGAGUCGAGUCAUCGUGGUGCUGUAUUUCAGUAUUGAAGUCAGUACGGAAAUGUUAACAUGUAUAAUCAUAAUACUGAGUUUUAAUACCAAAAUCAGUGAUAUAGAACUGAGUGAGGUCUUAGUCGUGCUAUUUUUUUGUACUCAAAUCAAUACUGACAUAUUAACAUAGAUAAUCGCAAUACUGAAUUUUAUACCGAAAUUAGUGAUAUAAAACUCAGUUAGGUCAUCCUAGUGCUAUUUUUAGUAUCGAAAUCAGUAUUGAAAAAUUAACGUGAAGAAUCACAAUACUGAAUUCUAGUACAAAAAUUAGUGAUAUACAAGUGAGUCGGGUGAUCUCGUUUUGUAUUUCAGUACUGAAAUCAGUACUGAAAUCUUAAGGUGGAUAAUCGCAAUAUUGAAUUACAGUACCGAAAUGAGUGAUAUAGAACAUAGUCGGGUCAUCUUGGUGAUCUAGUUCAGUAUUGAAAUCAGUACUAAAAUAUUAACGUGGAUAAUCAGAACACUGAAUUUUAGUACCGAAAUUAGUGAUACACUAUCGAGUCGGGUCAUCGUGGUGCGUUUGCAAUAUUAAAUAUCAACGUGGAUAAUCACAAUACUAAGUUUUAGUACUGAAAUUAGUGAUAUAGAACCGAGUCAGGUGUUAGUCAAGCUAUUUUUGAGUACGCAAAUUAAUACUGAAAUACUAACAUGGAUAAUCACAAUAGUAAAAUUUAUACCAAAAUUAGUGAUAUAGAAGUGAGUCGGGUGAUCGUCGUUUUGUUUUUCAGUACUGAAAUCAGUAUUAAUGUAUUAAAGUGGAUAAUCGCAAUACUGAAUUUUAGUACCGAAAUGAGUGAUGUAAAACAUAGUCGGGUCAUGUUGGUGCUAUAUUUCAGUACUGAAAUCAAUAUUGAAAUAUUAAGGUGGAUAAUCACAAUACUGAAUUUUAGUACCGAAAUUAGAAAUUUACAACUCAGUCGGGUCAUCGUGGUGCUGUUUUUUCAGUAUCGAAAUGUUAACAUGUAUAAUCAUAAUACUGAGUUUUAAUACCAAAAUCAGUGAUAUCGAACUGAGUGAGGUGUUAGUCGUGCUAUUUUUUNNNNNNNNNNNNNNNNNNNNNNNNNNNNNNNNNNNNNNNNNNNNNNNNNNNNNNNNNNNNNNNNNNNNNNNNNNNNNNNNNNNNNNNNNNNNNNNNNNNNNNNNNNNNNNNNNNNNNNNNNNNNNNNNNNNNNNNNNNNNNNNNNNNNNNNNNNNNNNNNNNNNNNNNNNNNNNNNNNNNNNNNNNNNNNNNNNNNNNNNNNNNNNNNNNNNNNNNNNNNNNNNNNNNNUGAUAUACAGCUAAGUCUCGUGAUCAUCGUUUCGUUUUUAUGUCUUGAAAUAAGUAUUGAAAUAUUAAGUGGAUAAUCGCAAUACUGAAUUUUAAAACCAAAAUUAGUGAUAUACAACUGAGUGUGAUAAUCGUCAUUUUAUAUUUCAGUAUUGAAAUCAAUAUUGAUAUAUUAAUGUGGAUAAUCACAAUACUAAAUUUUAGUACUAAAAUUAGUGAUACACGACCGAGUCGGGUCAUCGUGGUGCUGUAUUUCAGUAUUGAAGUCAGUACGGAAAUGUUAACAUGUAUAAUCAUAAUACUGAGUUUUAAUACCAAAAUCAGUGAUAUAGAACUGAGUGAGGUGUUAGUCGUGCUAUUUUUUGUACUCAAAGCAAUACUAACAUAUUAACAUAGAUAAUCGCAAUACUGAAUUUUAUACCAAAAUUAGUGAUAUAAAACUGAGUCAGGUCAUCCUAGUGCUAUUUUUAGUAUUGAAAUCAGUAUUGAAAAAAUAACGUGAAGAAUCACAAUACUGAAUUCUAGUACCAAAAUUAGUGAUAUACAAGUUAGUCGGGUGAUCUCGUUUUGUAUUUCAGUACUGAAAUCAGUAUUGAAAUGUUAAGGUGGAUAAUCGCAAUACAGAAUUUUAGUACCGAAGUGAGUGAUGUAAAACAUAGUCGGGUCAUCUUGGUGCUAUAUUUCAGUACUGAAAUCAAUAUUGAAAUAUUAAGGUGGAUAAUCACCAUACCGAAUUUUAGUAUCGAAAUUAGAAAUUUACAACUCAGUCGGGUCAUCGUGGUGCCGUUUUUUCAAUAUUGAAAUAUUAACGCGGUUAAUCUCAAUGCUAUAUUUUAGUACCAAAAUUAGUGAUAUAGAAUUGAGUGAGGCGUUCAUCCAGCUGUUUUUCAGUACUGAAAUCAAUACUGCAAUAUUUACAUGGAUAAUCGCAGUACCGAAUAUUAGUAACAAAUUUGUGAUAUACAGCUAAGUCUCGUGAUCAUCGUUUCGUUUUUAUGUCUUGAAAUAAGUAUUGAAAUAUUAAGUGGAUAAUCGCAAUACUGAAUUUUAAAACCAAAAUUAGUGAUAUACAACUGAGUGUGAUAAUCGUCAUUUUAUAUUUCAGUAUUGAAAUCAAUAUUGAUAUAUUAAUGUGGAUAAUCACAAUACUAAAUUUUAGUACUAAAAUUAGUGAUACACGACCGAGUCGGGUCAUCGUGGUGCUGUAUUUCAGUAUUGAAGUCAGUACGGAAAUGUUAACAUGUAUAAUCAUAAUACUGAGUUUUAAUACCAAAAUCAGUGAUAUAGAACUGAGUGAGGUGUUAGUCGUGCUAUUUUUUGUACUCAAAGCAAUACUAACAUAUUAACAUAGAUAAUCGCAAUACUGAAUUUUAUACCAAAAUUAGUGAUAUAAAACUGAGUCAGGUCAUCCUAGUGCUAUUUUUAGUAUUGAAAUCAGUAUUGAAAAAUUAACGUGAAGAAUCACAAUACUGAAUUCUAGUACCAAAAUUAGUGAUAUACAAGUUAGUCGGGUGAUCUCGUUUUGUAUUUCAGUACGGAAAUCAGUAUUGAAAUGUUAAGGUGGAUAAUCGCAAUACAGAAUUUUAGUACCGAUAUGAGUGAUGUAAAACAUAGUCGGGUCAUCUUGGUGCUAUAUUUCAGUACUGAAAUCAAUAUUGAAAUAUUAAGGUGGAUAAUCACCAUACUGAAUUUUAGUAUCGAAAUUAGAAAUUUACAACUCAGUCGGGUCAUCGUGGUGCUGUUUUUUCAGUAUUGAAAUAUUAACGUGGUUAAUCUCAAUGCUAUAUUUUAGUACCAAAAUUAGUGAUAUAGAAUUGAGUGAGGCGUUCAUCCAGCUGUUUUUCAGUACUGAAAUCAAUACUGCAAUAUUUACAUGGAUAAUCGCAGUACCGAAUAUUAGUAACAAAUUUGUGAUAUACAGCUAAGUCUCGUGAUCAUCGUUUCGUUUUUAUGUCUUGAAAUUAGUAUUGAAAUAUUAAGUGGAUAAUCGCAAUACUGAAUUUUAAAACCAAAAUUAGUGAUAUACAACUGAGUGUGAUAAUCGUCAUUUUAUAUUUCAGUAUUGAAAUCAAUAUUGAUAUAUUAAUGUGGAUAAUCACAAUACUAAAUUUUAGUACUAAAAUUAGUGAUACACGACCGAGUCGGGUCAUCGUGGUGCUGUAUUUCAGUAUUGAAGUCAGUACGGAAAUUUUAACAUGUAUAAUCAUAAUACUGAGUUUUAAUACCAAAAUCAGUGAUAUAGAACUGAGUGAGGUGUUAGUCGUGCUAUUUUUUGUACUCAAAGCAAUACUAACAUAUUAACAUAGAUAAUCGCAAUACUGAAUUUUAUACCAAAAUUAGUGAUAUAAAACUGAGUCAGGUCAUCCUAGUGCUAUUUUUAGUAUUGAAAUCAGUAUUGAAAAAUUAACGUGAAGAAUCACAAUACUGAAUUCUAGUACCAAAAUUAGUGAUAUACAAGUUAGUCGGGUGAUCUCGUUUUGUAUUUCAGUACGGAAAUCAGUAUUGAAAUGUUAAGGUGGAUAAUCGCAAUACAGAAUUUUAGUACCGAUAUGAGUGAUGUAAAACAUAGUCGGGUCAUCUUGGUGCUAUAUUUCAGUACUGAAAUCAAUAUUGAAAUAUUAAGGUGGAUAAUCACCAUACUGAAUUUUAGUAUCGAAAUUAGAAAUUUACAACUCAGUCGGGUCAUCGUGGUGCUGUUUUUUCAGUAUUGAAAUAUUAACGUGGUUAAUCUCAAUGCUAUAUUUUAGUACCAAAAUUAGUGAUAUAGAAUUGAGUGAGGCGUUCAUCCAGCUGUUUUUCAGUACUGAAAUCAAUACUGCAAUAUUUACAUGGAUAAUCGCAGUACCGAAUAUUAGUAACAAAUUUGUGAUAUACAGCUAAGUCUCGUGAUCAUCGUUUCGUUUUUAUGUCUUGAAAUUAGUAUUGAAAUAUUAAGUGGAUAAUCGCAAUACUGAAUUUUAAAACCAAAAUUAGUGAUAUACAACUGAGUGUGAUAAUCGUCAUUUUAUAUUUCAGUAUUGAAAUCAAUAUUGAUAUAUUAAUGUGGAUAAUCACAAUACUAAAUUUUAGUACUAAAAUUAGUGAUACACGACCGAGUCGGGUCAUCGUGGUGCUGUAUUUCAGUAUUGAAGUCAGUACGGAAAUGUUAACAUGUAUAAUCAUAAUACUGAGUUUUAAUACCAAAAUCAGUGAUAUAGAACUGAGUGAGGUGUUAGUCGUGCUAUUUUUUGUACUCAAAGCAAUACUAACAUAUUAACAUAGAUAAUCGCAAUACUGAAUUUUAUACCAAAAUUAGUGAUAUAAAACUGAGUCAGGUCAUCCUAGUGCUAUUUUUAGUAUUGAAAUCAGUAUUGAAAAAUUAACGUGAAGAAUCACAAUACUGAAUUCUAGUACCAAAAUUAGUGAUAUACAAGUUAGUCGGGUGAUCUCGUUUUGUAUUUCGGUACUGAAAUCAGUAUUGAAAUGUUAAGGUGGAUAAUCGCAAUACAGAAUUUUAGUACCGAAAUGAGUGAUGUAAAACAUAGUCGGGUCAUCUUGGUGCUAUAUUUCAGUACUGAAAUCAAUAUUGAAAUAUUAAGGUGGAUAAUCACCAUACUGAAUUUUAGUAUCGAAAUUAGAAAUUUACAACUCAGUCGGGUCAUCGUGGUGCUAUUUUUUCAGUAUUGAAAUAUUAACGCGGUUAAUCUCAAUGCUAUAUUUUAGUACCAAAAUUAGUGAUAUAGAAUUGAGUGAGGCGUUCAUCCAGCUGUUUUUCAGUACUGAAAUCAAUACUGCAAUAUUUACAUGGAUAAUCGCAGUACCGAAUAUUAGUAACAAAUUUCUGAUAUACAGCUAAGUCUCGUGAUCAUCGUUUCGUUUUUAUGUCUUGAAAUAAGUAUUGAAAUAUUAAGUGGAUAAUCGCAAUACUGAAUUUUAAAACCAAAAUUAGUGAUAUACAACUGAGUGUGAUAAUCGUCAUUUUAUAUUUCAGUAUUGAAAUCAAUAUUGAUAUAUUAAUGUGGAUAAUCACAAUACUAAAUUUUAGUACUAAAAUUAGUGAUACACGACCGAGUCGGGUCAUCGUGGUGCUGUAUUUCAGUAUUGAAGUCAGUACGGAAAUGUUAACAUGUAUAAUCAUAAUACUGAGUUUUAAUACCAAAAUCAGUGAUAUAGAACUGAGUGAGGUUUAGUCGUGCAAUUUUUUUAUACUCAAAUCAAUACUGACAUAUUAACAUCGAUAAUCGCAAUACUGAAUUUUAUACCGAAAUUAGUGAUAUAAAACUGAGUCAGGUCAUCCUAGUGCUAUUUUUAGUAUUGAAAUCAGUAUUGAAAAAUUAACGUGAAGAAUCACAAUACUGAAUUCUAGUACCAAAAUUAGUGAUAUACAAGUGAGUCGGGUGAUCUCGCUUUGUAUUUCAGUACUGAAAUCAGUAUUGAAAUAUUAAGGUGGAUAAUCACAAUACUGAAUUUCAGUACCGAAAUGAGUUUUAUAGAACAUAGUCGGGUCAUCUUGGUGAUCUAGUUCAGUAUUGAAAUCAGUACUGAAAUAUUAACGUGGAUAAUCAAAACACUGAAUUUUAGUACCGAAAUUAGUGAUAUACAAUCGAGUCGGGUCAUCGUGGUGCGGUUUUCAAUAUUAAAUAUUAACGUGGAUAAUCACAAUACUAAGCUUUAGUACUGAAAUUAGUAAUAUAGAACCGAGUCAGGUGUUAGUCAAGCUAUUUUUGAGUACUCAAAUUAAUACUGAAAUACUAACAUGGAUAAUCACAAUAGUAAAAUUUAUACCGAAAUUAGUGAUAUAGUUGUGAGUCGGGCGAUCGUCGUUUUGUUUUUCAGUACUGAAAUCAGUAUUAAAGUAUUCAAGUGGAUAAUCGCAAUACCGAAUUUUAGUACCGAAAUGAGUGAUGUAAAACAUAGUCGGCUCAUCUUGGUGCUAUAGUUCAGUACUGAAGUCAAUAUUGAAAUAUUAAGGUGGAUAAUCACAAUACUGAAUUUUAGUACCGAAAUUAGAAAUUUACAACUCAGUCGGGUCAUCGUGGUGCUGUUUUUUCAGUAUUGAAAUAUUAAUGUGGUUAAUCUCAAUGCUAUAUUUUAGUACCAAAAUUAGUGAUAUAGAAUUGAGUCAUGCGUUCAUCCAGCUAUUUUUCAGUACUGAAAUCAAUACUGCAAUAUUUACAUGGAUAAUCGCAGUACCGAAUAUUAGUAACAAAUUUGUGAUAUACAGCUAAGUCUCGUGAUCAUCGUUUCGUUUUUAAGUCUUGAAAUCAGUAUUGAAAUAUUAAGUGGAUAAUCGCAAUACUGAAUUUUAAAACCAAAAUUAGUGAUAUACAACUGAGUGUGAUGAUCGUCAUUUUAUAUUUCAGUAUUGAAAUCAAUAUUGAUAUAUUAAUGUGGAUAAUCACAAUACUAAAUUUUAGUACUGAAAUUAGUGAUACACGACCGAGUCGGGUCAUCGUGGUGCUGUAUUUCAGUAUUGAAGUCAGUACGGAAAUGUUAACAUGUAUAAUCAUAAUACUGAGUUUUAAUACCAAAAUCAGUGAUAUAGAACUGAGUGAGGUGUUAGUCGUGCUGUUUUUUUAUACUCAAAUCAAUACUGACAUAUUAACAUAGAUAGUCGGAAUACUGAAUUUUAUACCGAAAUUAGUGAUAUAAAACUGAGUCAGGUCAUCCUAGUGCUAUUUUUAGUAUUGAAAUCAGUAUUGAAAAACUAACGUGAAGAAUCACAAUACUAAAUUCUAGUACCAAAAUUAGUGAUAUACAAGUUAGUCGGGUGAUCUCGUUUUGUAUUUCAGUACUGAAAUCAGUAUUGAAAUAUGAAGGUGGAUAAUGGCAAUACUGAAUUUCAGUACCGCAAUGAGUGAUAUAGAACAUAGUCGGGUCAUCUUGGUGAUCUAGUUCAGUAUUGAAAUCAGUACUGAAAUAUUAACGUGGAUAAUCAGAACACUGAAUUUUAGUACCGAAAUUAGUGAUAUACAAUCGAGUCGGGUCAUCGUGGUGCGGUUUUCAAUAUUAAAUAUUAACGUGGAUAAUCACAAUACUAAGCUUUAGUACUGAAAUUAGUAAUAUAGAACCGAGUCAGGUGUUAGUCAAGCUAUUUUUGAGUACUCAAAUUAAUACUGAAAUACUAACAUGGAUAAUCACAAUAGUAAAAUUUAUACCGACAUUAGUGAUAUAGUUGUGAGUCGGGCGAUCGUCGUUUUGUUUUUCAGUACUGAAAUCAGUAUUAAAGUAUUCAAGUGGAUAAUCGCAAUACCGAAUUUUAGUACCGAAAUGAGUGAUGUAAAACAUAGUCGGGUCAUCUUGGUGCUAUAUUUCAGUACUGAAAUCAAUAUUGAAAUAUUAAGGUGGAUAAUCACAAUACUGAAUUUUAGUACCGAAAUUAGAAAUUUACAACUCAGUCGGGUCAUCGUGGUGCUGUUUUUCAGUAUUGAAAUAUUAACGUGGUUAAUCUCAAUGCUAUAUUUUAGUACCAAAAUUAGUGAUAUAGAAUUGAGUCAUGCGUUCAUCCAGCUGUUUUUCAGUACUGAAAUCAAUACUGCAAUAUUUACAUGGAUAAUCGCAGUACCGAAUAUUAGUAACAAAUUUGUGAUAUACAGCUAAGUCUCGUGAUCAUCGUUUCGUUUUUAAGUCUUGAAAUCAGUAUUGAAAUAUUAAGUGGAUAAUCGCAAUACUGAAUUUUAAAACCAAAAUUAGUGAUAUACAACUGAGUGUGAUGAUCGUCAUUUUAUAUUUCAGUAUUGAAAUCAAUAUUGAUAUAUUAAUGUGGAUAAUCACAAUACUAAAUUUUAGUACUUAAAUUAGUGAUACACGACCGAGUCGGGUCAUCGUGUUGCUGUAUUUCAGUAUUGAAGUCAGUACGGAAAUGUUAACAUGUAUAAUCAUAAUACUGAGUUUUAAUACCAAAAUCAGUGAUAUAGAACUGAGUGAGGUGUUAGUCGUGCUGUUUUUUUAUACUCAAAUCAAUACUGACAUAUUAAAAUAGAUAGUCGCAAUACUGAAUUUUAUACCAAAAUUAGUGAUAUAAAACUGAGUCAGGUCAUCCUAGUGCUAUUUUUAGUAUUGAAAUCAGUAUUGAAAAAUUAACGUGAAGAAUCACAAUACUGAAUUCUAGUACCAAAAUUAGUGAUAUACAAGUUAGUCGGGUGAUCUCGUUUUGUAUUUCAGUACUGAAAUCAGUAUUGAAAUAUUAAGGUGGAUAAUGGCAAUACUGAAUUUCAGUACCGCAAUGAGUGAUAUAGAACAUAGUCGGGUCAUCUUGGUGAUCUAGUUCAGUAUUGAAAUCAGUACUGAAAUAUUAACGUGGAUAAUCAGAACACUGAAUUUUAGUACCGAAAUUAGUGAUAUACAAUCGAGUCGGGUCAUCGUGGUGCGGUUUUCAAUAUUAAAUAUUAACGUGGAUAAUCACAAUACUAAGUUUUAGUACUGAAAUUAGUGAUAUAGAACCGAGUCGGGUGUUAGUCAAGCUAUUUUUGAGUACUCAAAUUAUACUGAAAUAGUAACAUGGAUAAUCACAAUAGUAAAUUUAUACAUAAAUUAGUGAUAUAGAAGUUUGUCGGGUAAUCGUCGUUUUGUUUUUCAGUACUGAAAUCAGUAUUAAAGAGGAUAAUCGCAAUACUGAAUUUUAGUACCGAGAUGAGUGAUGUGAAACAUAGUCGGGUCAUCUUGGUGCUAUAUUUCAGUACUGAAAUCAAUGUUGAAAUAUUAAGGUGGAUAAUCACAAUACUGAAUUUUAGUACCGAAAUUAGAAAUUUACAACUCAGUGGGGUCUUCGUGGUGCUGUUUUUUCAGUAUUGAAAUAUUAACGUGGUUAAUCUCAAUGCUAUAUUUUAGUACCAAAAUUAGUGACAUAGAAUUGAGUCAUGCGUUCAUCCAGCUGUUUUUCAGUACUGAAAUCAAUACUGCAAUAUUUACAUGGAUAAUCGCAGUACCGAAUAUUAGUAACAAAUUUGUGAUAUAGAGCUAAGUCUUGUGAUCAUCGUUUUGUUUUUAAGUCUUGAAAUCAGUAUUGAAAUACUAGCAUGGAUAAUCACAAUAGUAAAAUUUAUACCGAAAUUAGUGAUAUACAAGUGAGUGUGAUGAUCGUCAUUUUAUAUUUCAGUAUUGAAAUCAAUAUUGAUAUAUUAGUGUGGAUAAUCACAAUACUAAAUUUUAGUACUGAAAUUACUGAUACACUACCGAGUCGGGUCAUCGUGGUGCUGUAUUUCAGUAUUGAAGUCAGUACGGAAAUGUUAACAUGUAUAAUCAUAAUACUGAGUUUUAAUACCAAAAUCAGUGAUAUAGAACUAAGUGAGGUGUUAGUCGUCCUAUUUUUUUGUACUCAAAUCAAUACUGACAUAUUAACAUAGAUAAUCCCAAUACUGAAUUUUAUACCGAAAUUAGUGAUAUAAAACUGAGUCAGGUCAUCCUAGUGCUAUUUUUAGUAUUGAAAUCAGUAUUGAAAAAUUAACGUGAAGAAUCACAAUACUGAAUUCUAGUACCAAAAUUAGUGAUAUACAAGUGAGUCGGGAUAUCUCGUUUUGUAUUUCAGUAUUGAAAUAUUAAAGUGGAUAAUCGCAAUACUGAAUUUCAGUACCGAAAUGAGUGAUAUAGAACAUAGUCGGGUUAUCUUGGUGAUCUAGUUUAGUAUUGAAAUCAGUACUGAAAUAUUAACGUGGAUAAUCAGAACACUGAAUUUUAGUACCGAAAAUAGUGAUAUACAAUCGAGUCGGGUCAUCGUGGUGCGGUUUUCAAUAUUAAAUAUUAACGUGGAAAUCACAAUACUAAGUUUUAGUACUGAAAUUAGUGAUAUAGAACCGAGUCAGGUGUUAAUCAAGCUAUUUUUGAGUACUCAAAUUAAUACUGAAAUACUAGCAUGGAUAAUCACAGUAAAAUUUAUACCAAAAUUAGUGAUAUAGAAGUGAGUCGGGUGAUCGUCGUUUUGUUUUUCAGUACUGAAAUCAGUAUUAAAGUAUUAAAGUGGAUAAUCGCAAUACUGAAUUUUAGUACCGAAAUGAGUGAUGUAAAACAUAGUUGAGUCAUGUUGGUGCUAUAUUUCAGUACUGAAAUCAAUAUUGAAAUAUUAAGGUGGAAAAUCACAAUACUGAAUUUUAGUACCGAAAUUAGAAAUUUACAACUCAGUCGGGUCAUCGUGGUGCUGUUUUUUCAGUAUCGAAAUAUUAACGUGGUUAAUAUCAAUGCUAUAUUUUAGUACCAAAAUUAGUGAUAUAGAAUUGAGUCAUGCGUUCAUCCAGCUGUUUUUCAGUACUGAAAUCAAUACUGCGAUAUUUACAUGGAUAAUCGCAGUACCGAAUAUUAGUAACAAAUUUGUGAUAUACAGCUAAGUCUCGUGAUCAUCGUUUCGUUUUUAAGUCUCGAAAUCAGUAUUGAAAUAUUAAGUGGAUAAUCGCAAUACUGAAUUUUAAAACCAAAAUUAGUGAUAUACAACUGAGUGUGAUAAUCGUCAUUUUAUAUUUCAGUAUUGAAAUCAAUAUUGAUAUAUUAAUGUGGAUAAUCACAAUACUAAAUUUUAGUACUAAAAUUAGAGAUACACGACCGAGUCGGGUCAUCGUGGUGCUGUAUUUCAGUAUUGAAGUCAGUACGGAAAUGUUAACAUGUAUAAUCAUAAUAUUGAGUUUUAAUACCAAAAUCAGUAAUAUAGAACUGAGUGAGGUGUUAGUCGUGCUAUUUUUUAUACUCAAAUCAAUACUGACAUAUUAACAUAGAUAAUCGCAAUACUGAAGUUUAUACCGAAAUUAGUGAUAUAAAACUGAGUCAGGUCAUCCUAGUGCUAUUUUUAGUAUUGAAAUCAGUAUUGAAAAACUAACGUGAAGAAUCACAAUACUGAAUUCUAGUACCAAAAUUAGUGAUAUACAAGUUAGUCGGGUGAUCUCGUUUUGUAUUUCAGUACUGAAAUCAGUAUUGAAAUGUUAAGGUGGAUAAUCGCAAUACUGAAUUUCAGUACCGAAAUGAGUGAUAUAGAACAUAGUCGGGUCAUCUUGGUGAUCUAGUUCAGUUUUGAAAUCAGUACUGAAAUAUUAACGUGGAUAAUCAGAACACUGAAUUUUAGUACCGAAAUUAGUGAUAUGCAAUCGAGUCGGGUCCUCGUGGUGCGGUUUUCAAUAUUAAAUAUUAACGUGGAUAAUCACAAUACUAAGUUUUAGUACUGAAAUUAGUGAUAUAGAACCGAGUCAGGUGUUAGUCAAGCUAUUUUUGAGUACUCAAAUUAAUACUGAAAUACUAACAUGGAUAAUCACCAUAGUAAAAUUUAUACCAAAAUUAGUGAUAUAGAAGUGAGUCGGGUGAUCGUCGUUUUGUUUUUAGUACUGAAAUCAGUAUUAAAGUAUUAAAGUGGAUAAUCGCAAUACUGAAUUUUAGUACCGAAAUGAGUGAUGUAACACAUAGUCGGGUCAUGUUGGUGCUAUAUUUCAUUACUGAAAUCAAUAUUGAAAUAUUAAGGUGGAUAAUCACAAUACUGAAUUUAGUACCGAAAUUAGAAAUUUACAACUAAGUCGGGUCAUCGUGGUGCUGUUUUUUCGGUAUCGAAAUAUUAACGUGGUUAAUCUCAAUGCUAUAUUUUAGUACCAAAAUUAGUGAUAUAGAAUUGAGUCAUGCGUUCAUCCAGCUAUUUUUCAGUACUGAAAUCAAUACUGCAAUAUUUACAUGGAUAAUCGCAGUACCGAAUAUUAGUAACAAAUUUGUGAUAUACAGCUAAGUCUCGUGAUCAUCGUUUUGUUUUUAAGUCUCGAAAUCAGUAUUGAAAUAUUAAGUGGAUAAUCGCAAUACUGAAUUUUAAAACCAAAAUUAGUGAUAUACAACUGAGUGUGAUGAUCGUCAUUUUAUAUUUCAGUAUUGAAAUCAAUAUUGAUAUAUUAAUGUGGAUAAUCACAAUAUUAAAUUUUAGUACUGAAAUUAGUGAUACACGACCGAGUCGGGUCAUCGUGGUGCUGUAUUUCAGUAUUGAAGUCAGUACGGAAAUGUUAACAUGUAUAAUCAUAAUACUGAGUUUUAAUACCAAAAUCAGUGAUAUAGAACUGAGUGAGGUGUUAGUCGUGCUAUUUUUUUGUACUCAAAUCAAUACUGACAUAUUAACAUAGAUAAUCGCAAUACUGAAUUUUAUACCGAAAUUAGUGAUAUAAAACUGAGUCAGGUCAUCCUAGUGCUAUUUUUAGUAUCGAAAUCAGUAUUGAAAAAUUAACGUGAAGAAUCACAAUACUGAAUUCUAGUACAAAAAUUAGUGAUAUACAAGUGAGUCGGGUGAUCUCGUUUUGUAUUUCAGUACUGAAAUCAGUACUGAAAUCUUAAGGUGGAUAAUCGCAAUAUUGAAUUACAGUACCGAAAUGAGUGAUAUAGAACAUAGUCGGGUCAUCUUGGUGAUCUAGUUCAGUAUUGAAAUCAGUACUGAAAUAUUAACGUGGAUAAUCAGAACACUGAAUUUUAGUACCGAAAUUAGUGAUACACAAUCGAGUCGGGUCAUCGUGGUGCGUUUGCAAUAUUAAAUAUUAACGUGGAUAAUCACAAUACUAAGUUUUAGUACUGAAAUUAGUGAUAUAGAACCGAGUCAGGUGUUAGUCAAGCUAUUUUUGAGUACGCAAAUUAAUACUGAAAUACUAACAUGGAUAAUCACAAUAGUAAAAUUUAUACCAAAAUUAGUGAUAUAGAAGUGAGUCGGGUGAUCGUCGUUUUGUUUUUCACUACUGAAAUCAGUAUUAAAGUAUUAAAGUUGAUAAUCGCAAUACUAAAUUUUAGUACCGAAAUGAGUGAUGUAAAACAUAGUCGGGUCAUGUUGGUGCUAUAUUUCAUUACUGAAAUCAAUAUUGAAAUAUUAAGGUGGAUAAUCACAAUACUGAAUUUUAGUACCGAAAUUAGAAAUUUACAACUCAGUCGGGUCAUCUUGGUGCUGUUUUUUCAGUAUCGAAAUACUAACGUGGUUAAUCUCAAUGCUAUAUUUUAGUACCAAAAUUAGUGAUAUAGAAUUGAGUCAUGCGUUCAUCCAGCCGUUUUUCAGUACUGAAAUCAAUACUGCAAUAUUUACAUGGAUAAUCGCAGUACCGAAUAUUAGUAACAAAUUUGUGAUAUACAGCUAAGUCUCGUGAUCAUCGUUUCGAUUUUAAGUCUUGAAAUCAGUAUUGAAAUAUUAAGUGGAUAAUCGCAAUACUGAAUUUUAGUACCAAAAUUAGUGAUAUACAACUGAGUGUGAUGAUCGUCAUUUCAUAUUUCAGUAUUGAAAUCAAUAUUGACAUAUUAAUGUGGAUAAUCACAAUACUAAAUUUCAGUACUGAAAUUAGUGAUACACGACCGAGUCAGGUCAUCGUGGUGCUGUAUUUCAGUAUUGAAGUCAGUACGGAAAUGUUAACAUGUAUAAUCAUAAUACUGAGUUAUAAUACCGAAAUCAGUGAUAUAGAACUGAGUGAGGUGUUAGUCGUGCUAUUUUUUUGUACUCAAAUCAAUACUGACAUAUUAACAUAGAUAAUCGCAAUACUGAAUUUUAUACCGAAAUUAAUGAUAUAAAACUGAGUCAGGUCAUCCUAGUGCUAUUUUUAGUAUCGAAAUCAGUAUUGAAAAAUUAACGUGAAGAAUCACAAUACUGAAUUCUAGUACAAAAAUUAGUGAUAUACAAGUGAGUCGGGAGAUCUCGUUUUGUAUUUCAGUACUGAAAUCAGUAUUGAAAUAUUAAGGUGCAUAAUCGCAAUACUGAAUAUCAGAACCGAAAUGAGUGAUAUAGAACAUAGUCGGGUCAUCUUGGUGAUCUAGUUCAGUAUUGAAAUCAGUACUGAAAUAUUAACGUGGAUAAUCAGAACACUGAAUUUUAGUACCGAAUUAGUGAUAUACAAUCGAGUCGGGUCAUCGUGGUGCGGUUUUCAAUAUUAAAUAUUAACGUGGAUAAUCACAAUACUAAGUUUUAGUACUGAAAUUACUAAUAUAGAACCGAGUCAGGUGUUAGUCAAGCUAUUUUUGAGUACGCAAAUUAAUACUGAAAUACUAACAUGGAUAAUCACAAUAGUAAAAUUUAUACCGAAAUUAGUGAUAUAGAAGUGAGUCGGGUGAUCGUCGUUUUGUUUUUCAGUACUGAAAUCAGUAUUAAAGUAUUAAAGUGGAUAAUCGCAAUACUGAAUUUUAGUACCGAAAUUAGUGAUGUAAAACAUAGUCGGGUCAUGUUGGUGCUAUAUUUCAGUACUGAAAUCAAUAUUGAAAUAUUAAGGUGGAUAAUCACAAUACUGAAUUUUAGUACCGAAAUUAGAAAUUUACAACUCAGUCGGGUCAUCAUGGUGCUGUUUUUUCAGUAUCGAAAUACUAACGUAGUUAAUCUCAAUGCUAUAUUUUAGUACCAAAAUUAGUGAUAUAGAAUUGAGUCAUGCGUUCAUCCAGCUGUUUUUCAGUACUGAAAUCAAUACUGCAAUAUUUACAUGGAUAAUCGCAGUACCGAAUAUUAGUAACAAAUUUGUGAUAUACAGCUAAGUCUCGUGAUCAUCGUUUCAUUUUUAAGUCGUGAAAUCAGUAUUGAAAUAUUAAGUGGAUAAUCGCAAUACUGAAUUUUAGUACCAAAAUUAGUGAUAUACAACUGAGUGUGAUGAUCAUCAUUUUAUAUUUCAGUAUUGAAAGCAAUAUUGAUAUAUUAAUGUGGAUAAUCACAAUACUAAAUUUUAGUACCGAAAUUAGUGAUACACGACCAAGUCGGGUCAUCCUGGUGCUGUAUUUCAAUAUUGAAGUCAGUACGGAAAUGUUAACAGGUAUAAAUAUAAUACUGAGUUAUAAUACCAAAAUCAGUGAUAUAGAACUGAGUGAGGUGUUAGUCGUGCUAUUUUUUUGUACUCAAAUCAAUACUGACAUAUUAACAUAGAUAAUCGCAAUACUAAAUUUUAUACCGAAAUUAGUGAUAUAAAUCUGAGUCAGGUCAUCCUAGUGCUGUUUUUAGUAUUGAAAUCAGUAUUGAAAAAUUAACGUGAAGAAUCACAAUACUGAAUUCUAGUACCAAAAUUAGUGAUAUACAAGUGAGUCGGGAGAUCUCGUUUUGCAUUUUAGUACUGAAAUCAGUAUUGAAAUAUUAAGGUGGAUAAUCGCAAUACUGAAUUUCAGAACCGAAAUGAGUGAUAUAGAACAUAGUCGGGUCAUCUUGGUGAUCUAGUUUAGUAUUGAAAUCAAUACUGAAAUAUUAACGUGGAUAAUCAGAACACUGAAUUUUAGUACCGAAAAUAGUGAUAUACAAUCGAGUCGGGUCAUCGUGGUGCGUUUUUCAAUAUUAAAUAUUAACGUGGAUAAUCACAAUACUAAGUUUUAGUACUGAAAUUAGUGAUAUAGAACCGAGUCAGGUGUUAGUCAAGCUAUUUUUGAGUACUCAAAUUAAUACUGAAAUACUAACAUGGAUAAUCACAAUAGUAAAAUUUAUACCGAAAUUAGUGAUAUAGACGUGAGUCGGGUGAUCGUCGUUUUGUUUUUCAGUACUGAAAUCAGUAUUAAAGUAUUAAAGUGGAUAGUCGCAAUACUGAAUUUUAGUACCGAAAUGAGUGAUGUAAAACAUAGUCGGCUCAUGUUGGUGCUAUAUUUCAGUAUUGAAAUCAAUAUUGAAAUAUUAAGGUGGAUAAUCACAAUACUGAAUUUUAGUACCGAAAUUAGAAAUUUACAACUCAGUUGGGUCAUCGUGGUGCUGUUUUUUCAGUAUCGAAAUAUUAACGUGGUUAAUCUCAAUGCUAUAUUUUAGUACCAAAAUUAGUGAUAUAGAAUUGAGUCAUGCGUUCAUCCAGCUAUUUUUCAGUACUGAAAUCAAUACUGCAAUAUUUACAUGGAUAAUCGCAGUACCGAAUAUUAGUAAUAAAUUUGUGAUAUACAGCUAAGUCUCGUGAUUAUCGUUUCGUUUUGAAGUCUUGAAAUCAGUAUUGAAAUAUUAAGUGGAUAAUCGCAAAACUGAAUUUUAAUACCAAAAUUAGUGAUAUACAACUGAGUGUGAUGAUCGUCAUUUUAUAUUUCAGUAUUGAAAUCAAUAUUGAUAUAUUAAUGUGGAUAAUCACAAUACUAAAUUUUAGUACUGAAAUUAUUGAUACACGACCGAGUCGGGUGAUCGUGGUGUUGUAUUUCGGUAUUGAAGUCAAUACGGAAAUGUUAACAUGUAUAAUCAUAAUACUGAGUUUUAAUACCAAAAUCAGUGAUAUAGAACUGAGUGAGGUGUUAGUCGUGCUAUUUUUUGUACUCAAAGCAAUACUAACAUAUUAACAUAGAUAAUCGCAAUACUGAAUUUUAUACCAAAAUUAGUGAUAUAAAACUGAGUCAGGUCAUCCUAGUGCUAUUUUUAGUAUCGAAAUCAUUAUUGAAAAAUUAACGUGAAGAAUCACAAUACUGAAUUCUAGUACCAAAAUUAGUGAUAUACAAGUGAGUCGGGUGAUCUCGUUUUGUAUUUCAGUACUGAAAUCAGUAUUGAAAUAUUAAGGUGGAUAAUCGCAAUACUGAAUUUCAGUACCGAAAUGAGUGAUAUAGAACAUAGUCGGGUCAUCUUGGUGAUCUAUUCAGUAUUGAAAUCAGUACUGAAAUAUUAACGUGGAUAAUCAGAACACUGAAUUUUAGUACCGAAAUUAGUGAUAUACAAUAGAGUCGGGUCAUCGUGGUGCGGUUUCCAAUAUUAAAUAUCAACGUGGAUAAUCACAAUACUAAGUUUUAGUACUGAAAUUAGUGAUAUAGAACCGAGUCAGGUGUUAGUCAAGCUAUUUUUGAGUACGCAAAUUAAUACUGAAAUACUAACAUGGAUAAUCACAAUAGUAAAAUUUAUACCGAAAUUUGUGAUAUAGAAGUGAGUCGGGUUAUCGUCGUUUUGUUUUUCAGUACUGAAAUCAGUAUUAAAGUAUUAAAGUGGAUAAUCGCAAUACUGAAUUUUAGUACCGAAAUGAGUGAUGUAAAACAUAGUCGGGUCAUGUUGGUGCUAUAUUUCAGUACUGAAAUCAAUAUUGAAAUAUUAAGGUGGAUAAUCACAAUACUGAAUUUUAGUACCGAAAUUAGAAAUUUACAACUCAGUCGGGUCAUCGUGGUGCUGUUUUUUCAGUAUCGAAAUACUAACGUGGUUAAUCUCAAUGCUAUAUUUUAGUGCCAAAAUUAGUGAUAUAGGAUUGAGUCAUGCGUUCAUCCAGCUGUUUUUCAGUACUGAAAUCAAUACUGCAAUAUUUACAUGGAUAAUCGCAGUACCGAAUAUUAGUAACAAAUUUGUGAUAUACAGCUAAGUCUCGUGAUCAUCGUUUCGUUUUGAAGUCUUGAAAUCAGUAUUGAAAUAUUAAGUGGAUAAUCGCAAUACUGAAUUUUAGUACCAAAAUUAGUGAUAUACAACUGAGUGUGAUGAUCGUCAUUUUAUAUUUCAGUAUUGAAAUCAAUAUUGAUAUAUUAAUGUGGAUAAUCACAAUACUAAAUUUUAGUACUGAAAUUAGUGAUACACGACCGAGUCGGGUCAUCGUGGUGAUGUAUUUCAGUAUUGAAGUCAGUACGGAAAUGUUAACAUGUAUAAUCAUAAUACUGAGUUUUAAUACCAAAAUCAGUGAUAUAGAACUGAGUGAGGUGUUAGUCGUGCUAUUUUCUGUAUUCAAAUCAAUACUGACAUAUUAACAUAGAUAAUCAUAAUACUGAAUUUUAUACCAAAAUUAGUGAUAUAAAACUGAGUCAGGUCAUCCUAGUGCUAUUUUUAGUAUUCAAAUCAGUAUUGAAAAAUUAACGUGAAGAAUCACAAUACUGAAUUCUAGUACCAAAAUUAGUGAUAUACAAGUGAGUCGGUGAUCUCGUUUUGUAUUUCAGUACUGAAAUCAGUAUUGAAAUAUUAAGGUGGAUAAUCACAAUACUGAAUUUUAGUACCGAAAUUAGAAAUUUACAACUCAUCGGGUCAUCGUGGUGCUGUUUUUUCAGUAUUGAAAUAUUAACGUGGUUAAUCUCAAUGCUAUAUUUUAGUACCAAAAUUAGUGAUAUAGAAUUGAGUCAUGCGUUCAUCCAGCUGUUAUUCAGUACUGAAAUCAAUACUGCAAUAUUUACAUGGAUAAUCGCAGUACCGAAUAUUAGUAAAAAAAUUGUGAUAUACAGCUAAGUCUCGUGAUCAUCGUUUUGUUUUUAAGUCUUGAAAUCGGUAUAGAAAUAUUAGUGGAUAAUCGCAAUACUGAAUUUUAAUACCAAAAUUAGUGAUAUACAACUGAGUGUGAUGAUUGUCAUUUUAUAUUUCAGUAUUGAAACCAAUAUUGAUAUAUUAAUUUGGAUUAUCAAAAUACUAUAUUUUAGUACUGAAAUUAGUGAUACACGACCGAGUCGGGUCAUCGUGGUGUUGUAUUUCAGUAUUGAAGUCAGUACGGAAAUGUUAACAUGUAUAAUCAUAAUACUGAGUUUUAAUACCAAAAUUAGUGAUAUAGAACUGAGUGAGGUGUUAGUCAUGCUAUUUUUUAGUACUCAAAUCAAUACUGACAUAUUAACAUCGAUAAUCGCAAUAAUGAAUUUUAUACCGAAAUUAGUGAUAUAAAACUGAGUCAGGUCAUCCUAGUGCUAUUUUUAGUAUUGAAAUCAGUAUUGUAAAAUUAACGUGAAGAAUCACAAUACUGAAUGCUAGUACUAAAAUUAGUGUUAUACAAGUGAGUCGGGUGAUCUCGUUUUGUAUUUCAGUACUGAAAUCAGUGCUGAAAAAUUAAGGUGGAUAAUCGCAAUACUGAAUUUCAGUACCGAAAUGAGUGAUAUAGUACAUAGUCGGGUCAUCUUGGUGAUCUAGUUCAGUAUUGAAAUCAGUACUGAAAUAUUAACGUGGAUAAGCAGAACACUGAAUUUAAGUACCGAAAUUAGUGAUAUACAAUCGAGUCGGAUCAUCGUGGUGCGGUUUUCAAUAUUAAAUAUUAACGUGGAUAAUCACAAUACUAAGUUUUAGUACUGAAAUUAGUGAUAUAGAACCGAGUCAGGUGUUAGUCAAGCUACUUUUGAGUACUCAAAUUAAUACUGAAAUACUAACAUGGAUAAUCGCAAUAGUAAAAUUUAUACCGAAAUUAGUGAUGUAGAAGUGAGCCGGGUGAUCGUCGUUUUGUUUUUUUUUGUACUGAAAUCAGUAUUAAAGUAUUAAAGUGGAUAAUCGCAAUACUGAAUUUUAGUACCGAAAUGAGUGAUGUAAAACAUAGUCUGGUCAUCUUGGUGCUAUAUUUUACUACUGAAAUCAAUAUUGAGAUAUUAAGGUGGAUAAUCACAAUACUGAAUUUAAGUACCGAAAUUAGAAAUUUACAACUCAGUCGGGUCAUCGUGGUGCCUUUUUUCAGUAUUGAAAUAUUAACGUGGUUAAUCUCAAUGCUAUAUUUUAGUACCAAAAUUAGUGAUAUAGAAUUGAGUCAUGCGUUCAUCCAGCUGUUUUUAUUUACUGAAAUCAAUACUGCAAUAUUUACAUGGAUAAUCGCAGUACCGAAUAUUAGUAACAAAUUUGUGAUAUACAGCUAAGUCUCGUGAUCAUCGUUUGUUUUUAAGUCUUCAAAUCAGUAUUGAAAUAUUAGUGGAUAAUCGUAAUACUAAAUUUUAAUAACAAAAUUAGUGAUAUACAACUGAGUGUGAUGAUCGUCGUUUUAUAUUUCAGUAUUGAAACCAAUAUUGAUAUAUUAAUGAGGAUAAUCACAAUACUAAAUUUUAGUACUGAAAUUAGUGAUACGCGACCGAGUCGGGUCAUCGUGGUGCUGUAUUGAAGUCAGUACGGAAAUGUUAACAUGUAUAAUCAUAAUACUGAGUUUUAAUACCAAAAUUAGUGAUAUAGAACUGAGUGAGGUGUUAGUCAUGCUAUUUUUUAGUACUCAAAUCAAUACUGACAUAUUAACAUUGAUAAUCGCAAUACUGAAUUUUAUACCGAAAUUAGUGAUACAAAACUGAGUCAGGUCAUCCUAGUGCUAUUUUUAGUAUUGAAAUCAGUAUUGAAAAUUUAACGUGAAGAAUCACAAUACUGAAUUCUAGUACCAAAAUUAGUGAUAUACAACUGAGUCAGGUGAUCUCGUUUUGUAUUUCAGUACUGAAAUCAAUAUUGAAAUAUUAAGGUGGAUAAUCCAAUACUGAAUUUCAGUACCGAAAUGAGUGAUAUAGAACAUAGUCGGGUCAUCUUGGUGAUCUACUUCAGUAUUGAAAUCAGUACUGAAAUAUUAACGUGAUAAUCAGAACACUGAAUUUUAGUACCGAAAUUAGUGAUAUACAAUCGAGUCGGGUGAUCGUGGUGCGGUUUUUAAUAUUAAAUAUUAAAGUGGAUAAUCACAAUACUAUAUUUUAGUACCGAAAUUAGUGAUAUAGAACCGUCUCAGGUGUUAGUCAAGCUAUUUUUGAGUACUCAAAUUAAUACUGAAAUACUAACAUGGAUAAUCGCAAUAGUAAAAUUUAUACCGAAAUUAGUGAUAUAGAAGUGAGUCGGGUGAUCCUCGUUUUGUUUUUCAGUACUGAAAUCAGUAUUAAAGUAUUAAAGUGGAUAAUCGCAAUACUGAAUUUUAGUACCGAGAUGAGUGAUGUAAAACAUAGUCGGGUCAUCUUGGUGCUAUAUUUCAGUACUGAAAUCAAUAUUGAAAUAUUAAGGUGGAUAAUCACAAUACUGAAUUUUAGUACCGAAAUUAGAAAUUAACAACUCAGUCGGGUCAUCGUGGUGCUGUUUUUUCAGUAUUGAAAUAUUAACGUGGUUAAUCUCAAUGCUAUAUUUUAGUACCAAAAUUAGUGAUAUAGAAUUGAGUCAUGCAUUCAUCCAGCUGUUUUUCAGUACUGAAAUCAAUACUGCAAUAUUUACAUGGAUAAUCGCAAUACCGAAUAUUAGUAACAAAUUUGUUAUAUACAGCUAAGUCUCGUGAUCAUCGUUUUGCUUUUAAGUCUUGAAAUCAGUAUUGAAAUAUUAGUGGAUAAUCGCAAUACUGAAUUUUAAUACCAAAAUUAGUGAUAUACAACUGAGUGUGAUGAUUGUCAAUUUUAAAUUUCAGUAUUGAAACCAAUAUUGAUAUAUUAAUGUGGAUAAUCACAAUACUAAAUUUUAGUACUGAAAUUAGUGAUACACCACCGAUUCGGGUCAUCGUGGUGAUGUAUUUCAGUAUUGAAGUCAGUACGGAAAUGUUAACAUGUAUAAUCAUAAUACGGAGUUUUAAUACCAAAAUUAGUGAUAUAGAACUGAGUGAGGUGUUAGUCAUGCUAUUUUUUAGUACUCAAAUCAAUACUGACAUAAUAACAUUGAUAAUCAAAAUACUGAAUUUUAUACCGAAAUUAGUGAUAUAAAACUGAGUCAGGUCAUCCUAGUGCUAUUUUUAUUAUUGAAAUCAGUAUUGAAAAAUUAACGUGAAGAAUCACAAUACUGAAUUCUAGUACCAAAAUUAGUGUUAUACAAGUGAGUCGGGUGAUCUCGUUUUGUAUUUCAGUACUGAAAUCAGUAUUGAAAGAUUAAGGUGGAUAAUCGUAAUAUUGAAUUUCAGUACCGAAAUGAGUGAUAUAGAACAUAGUCGGGUCAUCUUGGUGAUCUAAUUCAGUAUUGAAAUCAGUAUUGAAAUAUUAACGUGGAUAAUCAGAACACUGAAUUUUAGUACCGAAUUAGUGAUAUACAAUCGAGUCGGGUCAUCGUGGUGCGGUUUUCAAUAUUAAAUAUUAACGUGGAUAAUCACAAUACUAAGUUUUAGUACUGAAAUUAGUGAUAUAGAACCGAGUCAGGUGUUAGUCAAGCUAUUUUUGAGUACUGAAAUUAAUACUGAAAUACUAACAUGGAUAAUCGCAAUAGUAAAAUUUAUACCAAAAUUAGUGAUAUAGAAGUGAGUCGGGUGAUCGUCGUUUUGUUUUUCAGUUCUGAAAUCAUUAUUAAAGUAUUAAAGUGGAUAAUCGCAAUACUGAAUUUUAGUACCGAAAUGAGUGAUGUAAAACAUAGUCGGGUCAUGUUGGUGCUAUAUUUCAGUACUGAUAUCAAUAUUGAAAUAUUAAGGUGGAUAAUCACAAUACUGAAUUUUAGUACCAAAAUUAGAAAUUUACAACUCAGUCGGGUCAUCGUGGUGCUGUUUUUUCAGUAUCGAAAUACUAACGUGGUUAAUCUCAAUGCUAUAUUUUAGUGCCAAAAUUAGUGAUAUAGAAUUGAGUCAUGCGUUCAUCCAGCUGUUUUUCAGUACUGAAAUCAAUACUGCAAUAUUUACAUGGAUAAUCGCAGUACCGAAUAUUAGUAACAAAUUUGUGAUAUACAGCUAAGUCUCGUGAUCAUCGUUUCGUUUUGAAGUCUUGAAAUCAGUAUUGAAAUAUUAAGUGGAUAAUCGCAAUACUGAAUUUUAGUACCAAAAUUAGUGAUAUACAACUGAGUGUGAUGAUCGUCAUUUUAUAUUUCAGUAUUGAAAUCAAUAUUGAUAUAUUAAUGUGGAUAAUCACAAUACUAAAUUUUAGUACUGAAAUUAGUGAUACACGACCGAGUCGGGUCAUCGUGGUGAUGUAUUUCAGUAUUGAAGUCAGUACGGAAAUGUUAACAUGUAUAAUCAUAAUACUGAGUUUUAAUACCAAAAUCAGUGAUAUAGAACUAAGUGAGGUGUUAGUCGUGCUAUUUUCUGUAUUCAAAUCAAUACUGACAUAUUAACAUAGAUAAUCAUAAUACUGAAUUUUAUACCAAAAUUAGUGAUAUAAAACUGAGUUAGGUCAUCCUAGUGCUAUUUUUAGUAUUCAAAUCAGUAUUGAAAAAUUAACGUGAAGAAUCACAAUACUGAAUUCUAGUACCAAAAUUAGUGAUAUACAAGUGAGUCGGUGAUCUCGUUUUGUAUUUCAGUACUGAAAUCAGUAUUGAAAUAUUAAGGUGGAUAAUCACAAUACUGAAUUUUAGUACCGAAAUUAGAAAUUUACAACUCAUCGGGUCAUCGUGGUGCUGUUUUUUCAGUAUUGAAAUAUUAACGUGGUUAAUCUCAAUGCUAUAUUUUAGUACCAAAAUUAGUGAUAUAGAAUUGAGUCAUGCGUUCAUCCAGCUGUUAUUCAGUACUGAAAUCAAUACUGCAAUAUUUACAUGGAUAAUCGCAGUACCGAAUAUUAGUAAAAAAAUUGUGAUAUACAGCUAAGUCUCGUGAUCAUCGUUUUGUUUUUAAGUCUUGAAAUCGGUAUAGAAAUAUUAGUGGAUAAUCACAAUACUGAAUUUUAAUACCAAAAUUAGUGAUAUACAACUGAGUGUGAUGAUUGUCAUUUUAUAUUUCAGUAUUGAAACCAAUAUUGAUAUAUUAAUUUGGAUUAUCAAAAUACUAUAUUUUAGUACUGAAAUUAGUGAUACACGACCGAGUCGGGUCAUCGUGGUGUUGUAUUUCAGUAUUGAAGUCAGUACGGAAAUGUUAACAUGUAUAAUCAUAAUACUGAGUUUUAAUACCAAAAUUAGUGAUAUAGAACUGAGUGAGGUGUUAGUCAUGCUAUUUUUUAGUACUCAAAUCAAUACUGACAUAUUAACAUCGAUAAUCGCAAUAAUGAAUUUUAUACCGAAAUUAGUGAUAUAAAACUGAGUCAGGUCAUCCUAGUGCUAUUUUUAGUAUUGAAAUCAGUAUUGUAAAAUUAACGUGAAGAAUCACAAUACUGAAUGCUAGUACUAAAGUUAGUGUUAUACAAGUGAGUCGGGUGAUCUCGUUUUGUAUUUCAGUACUGAAAUCAGUGCUGAAAAAUUAAGGUGGAUAAUCGCAAUACUGAAUUUCAGUACCGAAAUGAGUGAUAUAGUACAUAGUCGGGUCAUCUUGGUGAUCUAGUUCAGUAUUGAAAUCAGUACUGAAAUAUUAACGUGGAUAAGCAGAACACUGAAUUUAAGUACCGAAAUUAGUGAUAUACAAUCGAGUCGGAUCAUCGUGGUGCGGUUUUCAAUAUUAAAUAUUAACGUGGAUAAUCACAAUACUAAGUUUUAGUACUGAAAUUAGUGAUAUAGAACCGAGUCAGGUGUUAGUCAAGCUACUUUUGAGUACUCAAAUUAAUACUGAAAUACUAACAUGGAUAAUCGCAAUAGUAAAAUUUAUACCGAAAUUAGUGAUGUAGAAGUGAGCCGGGUGAUCGUCGUUUUGUUUUUUUGUACUGAAAUCAGUAUUAAAGUAUUAAAGUGGAUAAUCGCAAUACUGAAUUUUAGUACCGAAAUGAGUGAUGUAAAACAUAGUCGGGUCAUCUUGGUGCUAUAUUUUACUACUGAAAUCAAUAUUGAGAUAUUAAGGUGGAUAAUCACAAUACUGAAUUUAAGUACCGAAAUUAGAAAUUUACAACUCAGUCGGGUCAUCGUGGUGCCU